CCAGCAAGGAGUUGCAUGACGAGCCCAGAUGUGACAAUUGGAGUGAUCCCAAGCUCCAUGACAGUGCCUCGGUUGGAAGCGAGAAUCACACGCAUCCAAUAGAAGGGAUCUGCGCCAGUUGUGGAGUGAAUGCCAUACAGAGGGAGCUGGCUGCAUACCAAGAAAAUGAAGAGGGAGAUGACGGUGUAUAUCACCUUCUCUCUGAAGGGGACUUUCCUGUCAGCGCUCUGCACUUCCGGCAAAAACGAAAGGAAGGGUCUCACCAGAUGAAGAACUCGAAAUCCACCUCCCAUCUCGCUUCGUCAAAGCUAGAGACGGGCCAAAGCCAGAUCUGGUCGGCGUGGCAGAGAGAGAAGAAGGAUAUGAAUAAAUGGCGCAGAGAUGGAAGAAGAGAGAUAACGGCGCAGAGAAGAGAAGAAAAUAGGUUUCACGCGAGUUUUAAUUUUGUUCAAAUUGAAAGCAAUAAAUUCAAUGUUUAUACAAACAAUACGUUGGUAAUGUGUUAGUCCAGUGGUGUGGGCUUUUGAAGCGAAGCAUAAGUCAAGAGGGGGGUGGGGUUGGGUUCGAAACCCUUUGUGGAUGGUCUUUCAAGUUCCUGUCUUUAUUUUGCUUCAAGUUUCAGUUUUUAGUUUUAAAUUCUAUUUAAAUUGACAGAGUUAAUCGCAAAUAGGAAGGAAGGGGAUAUAGAUAUGAUGCUGAGGGCAAGAAGGCACAGCUCCUCUACAACCUUCAAUUCAAACUCUGGAUAUCGAACAGGAACACAGAGAUAAGAGGCACUUUCAAGUAAGCUUGGGGUUGAGGAGCAAAAUAAGUUUAGGUUAGGUUAGGUUAGGUUAAAUAUAUAUAAUUAAAGUUGUUGGUUCUACUUUCCAGUUAGGAAAGUUCUGUUAAUUGCCUCCAUCAUAUGCUAUGAUUUUCUCCCUUGAUCUAGUCUUUAUAUGUUGAUUCCUUCCUUUUGUAGCAUUCUUUCUGUCUAAAUUGGGUGUGUUUCUGUUUUUACCUCAAUGAAUGAAUAAGAUGAAGCAUAAUUUUCUAUUACAUUACCCUCUCUUGAAUUAAGAAAUCGAAAAUUGCAAAGAAUUCUUAAAUUUAUGGCAAUGAAUAAUUUCAGUGUUUGGAUUUAUGUAUGUCAAAUUUUAUAAAUAACAAAAAUUACAGUGAAACGUGAAUUCAUACUCAAUAGAAAUUGCGAAAUGACAUCUCUUUUGUUGGAAAUUAAAAUAGAUUACUAUAAAGAAACCCAUUUCUAACAAUAGAAUCAUAGAAAUACUCUACAUGAAAUUGACUUCAUAAACACACCCUACCUUACAUUAAACAGACUUCCUAAACACAACCUACUAUUGCAAGCUGUUCUUUUUUUUUAUUUAGUUUACUUAAUAUACAGAUUUCGUGAUUUACCCUUAAGUAUGAAAUUCAUAUUAAAAAAAACUCAAAACUGGAUUAUUACUCACCUGAUUUACCCUUUAGUGUGUUUAAGACCCUGGACCUUCGUGUCGGGGUUCAAAUCUCUAGGCUCCGUAUGGAUUUACAAGGUUUUGUAUAGACAAGCAAUAUUAUGCAGCUUAGAUUCCCAGCUUUUUGAAUUGCAUACUAUAAUCACUGGCUGGGUUGAAGAUUAGAUCAAAUUGAUAAGAGCAAAAAAUCACACUCCAUGUUCUGUCAAUAUCUUAAGCAUCGGGUAUAUAUAUACAGAGAGCUUUCAUUGAGGGAUCCCUUAAAUAAGCUUAUUUGAGGGACACUCCUUGUAGGCCCCACUCCAGAUUGUAUUUCACUAAUCCAAACCGUCUAUUUUGUAGAUACUCAUUCAAAGAUCAUCUCUACAAAAAAUCACUUGAAUCCGAUAUCAUUUGACCACUCAAUUAAGUUAUUGAAAUUUUAGCAUUUUCUUGAAGAAUCGUGUUCAUUGAUUUUGUAAGACACAAUUAGAUGUCGAAACGGUUUCCGAUUUAUCUAAUUUUUUGUAAGGAUGAUCUAUGAAUGAAGACCUAAAAAUAGAUGGUUUGGAUCAUUGGGAAAAAAAUUGUAUGGUACCCUAAAGGGCGUCCCUCAAAUAAAAUUAUUUGAGGGAUCCCUCAAUAGAAGGGGACUGUAUAUAUAUAUACAUAUAUAUAUAUAUAUAUCUCACCAGUUAUUACUCAAUUGCAGCCAAAUAUGGAGAAACCAAAUGUAUAAUCCACGCCAAUGCAAUGAGAGAGAAGAAGCCUCAUGAAGCUCUCCGGUGCAAACGCGGACAUAUUUCAUUGAAAAGCACAAAGCAACACAGCGCCAGAAGUAGAAGCCUUGAUCUGAUGAGUUGUUGCAGAUGACAAUGGAUUUCUCGAUAAAAAUUAAAAUGGGACACUUUUCAUUUCCCAUUGUUUAUGCUUAAGUUUUGAUUUUUCGAUUAAUUAAGCAAUAUUAAUCUUAUUUUAUUUUUGUAAUUUUUUGGGGUUGAGCAAAGAUCUGGUUCUUUAUCAUUGGGCGAGUGGAUCUGUGCGGCAUUUAUACUGUUUGGUUAAAAGGAUUGGUUAUUGACGAGAUAUAAAUCUGUUGAGCUUCUUAAAGGCUCUCUUUUGGUUUAUAUAAUUAUGUGAUUGUAAACUUGAUAAUAAAUCAAUGAAGGCCUUUCUUCUUCAUGCAAAUUGUUGAUUCUUUCUCUUUCUCUGUUUUUUUUUCUUGCAACAAUCACAGUGCAUUUUCCCUCUCAUAAGAUCUCUCUCUGUACCAUUUGCCAAUUAUCCUUACCAUUUGCCAGUUAUCCUUCUCAUAAGAUGUAAUACCCCGACCCCAAAUUUCCCCAAAUUUAAUCCUUAUUUAAUUAUUUAAUUAUUUAAGGGUAUUUUAGUCAUAUUUUUAACCGGAGAGAGUUUGGGACCGUGACUUGUAUUUUUGGAUAGGUCGUACCGAGACGAGUUCAUAAACACGUAGUGGGCUCGAAUCGGAGUUGUAACGAGAGAGAUAUGGUCAAAAGAAACCCAGUGGCACAAUCGUAAAUAUUUCAAAAUGGGAUUUUUAUAAAAAUCCGGUUCUCUCUCUCUCUCUCCCGCGACCUCUCCCUCUCUCCCUUCAGCUCUCUCUCUCUCUCUCUCUCUCUCUCUCUCUCUCUCUCUCUCUCUCUCUCUCCUUGUAACUCCGGCCACGGCUGUGGACGGGGCCGGUACCAAAAUGACCGGGGCGUCGUCCUCUUCCAGCCCCAGCCGUCUCCCGCCUCCAGCCGCCGCGGUUUCGCCGAAAAAUGGAGGAGAAGCGGCCGGCGUCGUCCGAUCUUCGCCGCCGUCGAUCUCCCUCCUCCGGCCACCAAAUUCGACGAGCAAGGUAUGAUUUCUCACCUAUUUUUCAUGCUCUAGCUGCCUGUUGGGUAGGAUUAGAUCGAUUCUUAGCGUAGACAACUCGAGGCCGAACUUCGGCCGCCGUGAUCGGCCAUUUCCGGCCACUUUUUGGAGUAGGUCCAAGAACAAAAGUGGCUCCAAAUAGGGUGUUAUACCUAGGGUAGGAAUUUGGAGCCGUGGUUUUGAGAUUUUCCGGCGAAGCGUUAUUGCUUUGGGCACCACGCGCUGCCGGGGCGUGCGGCGGCGCUUGGGCAUGGUGGAAAAAGUAGCACUAUGUUCCGAUGAGAUCCUUAGGUUGUCACUAGUGCGUAGGAUUUCGCGGAUCUCAAUUCGGACGUCGUUUGACUAUCGAACGGAUAAUCGCAUAUUGUGCGUUAUCCGGGUUCGAUAGGUUGGGACCGUUGGAUGGUCCCAAAUUUAAUAUAUGUUAAUCUAGAUAAUUCUAGGAUCGUGUAGGAAUUCACGGAUUGUGAAUCGGAGCCCCGGAUGUUCCGAAUAGUAAUUUUACAGUUUAUAUUUUAUAUUAAUUGUCAGAUCGUGCGAUUGUGAGAAAUCCGACCGUCCGAUCUGAACCAAACUUGCAGGACAAGUGUCCUAUACCUGGUAGAACCCAUAGAGACUUUCGGAUCGGAAAUUGGAGGUCGUGGGUUCUGCAGGUCCGUUUGACCAGGGUUAGAGUAGUUUGACCCUUGGUUGACCGUGAGUCUCCCGGAGUAAUCUCACCCUUCCAGGGGGAUUAUCGGGAGCUAGACUAUUGUGGAGAGUUACACAAUAUUAGAAUUAUUUAUAUAAUUAUAUAUGGUUGUACAAGGGUACAACAGAGUCUAGAAUGUCAGUUUGGAGUGCUAUACGCACUACUUUAGGUACUUCCCCGGAUGUUGGAUUUACAACAAGUACCACCAAGUGAAAGUGAGGUCCCAUGUGGCGUAGGUUAUCCGGCGUGCGGACAGGCCCCAUACGUGGCGUUGGUUGUACCAGCGUAUGGGGAGAUUUGUGAUAUUAUGUUCAGGUCUCACGUGGCAUAGGUUAUCCGGCGUUGAGACAGGCCCCAUACGUGGCGUUGGUUGUACCGGCGUAUGGGGAGCUAUGGUGAUAUUGUGUUGAGGUCGCACGUGGCGUAGGUUAUCCGGCGUGUCGACAGACCCUAUACGUGGCGUUGGUUGUACCGGUGUAUGGGGAGAUUUGUGAUAUGAUGUUGAGGUCCCGCGUGGCGUAGGUUAUCCGGCGUUGGGACAGGCUCCAUACGUGGCGUUGGUUGUACCGGGGUAUGGGGAGUUAUGUGAUAUGAUGUGCAGGUCUCGCGUGGCGUAGGUUAUCCGGCGUUGAGACAGACCCCAUACGUGGCGUUGGUUGUACCGGCGUAUGGGGAGAUAUUAUGAUAGUAUGACAUGGUCGCACGUGGCGUAGGUUAUCCGGCGUGUUGACAGGCCCCAUACGUGGCGUUGGUUGUACCGGCGUAUGGGGAGAUUAUAUGAAAUACAAAGAAAUGAAAUAAGGUAUCGCCCAAGUGUGGAAUUGGGUUUUAGGGAAGAACUACGUGUGGCUUGAUCCCUCAAGGAGGGUACGUAGGCAGCCUAAGGUUAUUAGGUGUAGCCGCAGACUAAAUAUUAGUCAUAAUUUGUAUUUGAAUUGUUUGGUAGUUGUUUGAGAAUUAUUGGAAGGCCGAAGGCCAUUUAUGAGAAUUUGCAUGAAAUUAUAUUGUGCAUGCUGCCAGUUGGGAAUAUUAAAUGCGUUUUCAUGCAGGUAUAAAUUUUGGGAAUGUCCAAUUUUUAGGGGAGACUCUGUCGAAAUUUCGGCAGGGAGUCUCGGUUUUUAGUAAGUGGGUCUGGCAUCGGAGUGAUGUCAGGAAUUCCAAAGGGUUCGUCUCGGGUUUUGAGAAAAUUCGGGGCGGGUCCUUUCAUAAGAUCUCUCUCUGCAGUUGUGUAAGUUUGGAUGUUGUUUUAUUGGGUUGUAAUCAGAGCUUGUGGAGAAUUUAGUACUCACGACAUCUUCUAUGACAUAGUAUUAACAGUGUACUUCUAUGACAUAGUAUUAACAGUGUACGUAGAGGUAUUUCCUUUUGCCUUUGCGAUUGUAUGUGGUGAAACUAUGGAUAAUUGGAGAUGGUUUCUGCAAAAGAUAUCUAAUGUCUUGCUAGGCCUUUUUGAGUUUUUUUCUAAGUUUUUGUAUGAAAUGGUAUUAACAAUGCACUUUUAUGAAAUGGUAUUAACAAUGUACUUUUAUGACAUGGUAUUAACAAUGUACGGAGGUUCGGUGGAGAAGGGUCGUAAGGACAGCUCCUUGAUUUUUCUGUUUUUUUUUUUUUUUUAAGUUUGGGUUUUAAAAAAAAAAAUUGGGCUGGGCUUGUUUUGGGUCUUUUUUGAGUUGGGCUUGUUUUAAGUUAAUCAAUGGUAGAUAUGUAAUUUAUAGGAGCUUCCACACUCAUUUCUUAUGUAUUAAAUAGUUUUGGGAAAUAGCCCAAAAUGCCACCAUUUUUAUAAUUGUAAUUGAAAAUACCACCCUUUUUUAAAAAUUUUGGAACUAUGACCUAUAAAUAGAAUUUUAUUGUCCCCUUAUUGCACAGAUAUCACUUUUGCUGAAAUUUUAUUGUCUCUGUUUUGCUGAAGUUCUCUCUCGCCUCUGUCUCUUCGCUGCCCUCUGUUUCUCUUCACUCUCCGGUGGCUUUGCUCCGAAUCUGUGGUCCUUCAGCUCUCAGUCUCUCCUCACUCAGCUCCGACUGUCUCUUCUCUCUUCCUCUCCCAGCGACAGGCACUGUUCAUCGGCAUUUUCUUACAGUUUAAGGGUUUCUCUCAAGUUGUUUUAGGGUUUAUGCAUUUCUCUGAAAUUGGCUGAGGGGUUUGUUCGAAAUUGGUUGAAGGUUUAGGGGUUUCGCUGAAAUUAGUUUAGGGGUUUGUUCGAAAUUGGUUGAAGGUUUAGGGGUUUCUCUGAAAUUGGUUUAGGGGUUUCAUUGAAAUUGUUUUAGGGGUUUGUCUGAAAUGAUCUGAGUAUGAUGAUUCCUUGUUUCAAACAGUGAAUGGGUUUGUUCUUUGUGGACUGAUGCUUGCACUGCUGUUGUGUUGCUGUUGCUGUUGCUAUUGCUGUCGUAUUGUGUUUUUUUGCUAGUGUAUUGCUAAUGUAGUGAUGUUGUGUUGGCAUUUUAGUGCAGUUGUAUUUUUAGUUUUAGUAUGGUUUUAUUAUGGUUUUUGUAGCAGUUAUUGAAUGGUAUUUGGUGGCUUAGUAUAAGUCUUUAUGAGCAUUGCAUUUAACCUUCUUAGAAGUCUAAUUGGUAUCUAUUUUGUUUGUUGAAGAUGAUAUCUAAAGUGUAAGACAAUUAACCUGUGUAUGGUGAUUUCUUCUCUGUGGAUCAUUACCAAAAAAUACUCGCUGAUUAUAUUUUACGUAGAAAAUGUGGCCAUGAAAAGAAUUUGUGGCUAAAACUCCAUGAUGGAAGCAACCAUUUUGAAAUAUCUUAAGCAAACUGUUGGUGGCUUGCUAAAUUCCUUAAUUUUUUUCUCUUUAUCUUCCAACGAGGUAGUGACCCUUCACAUUACACUCAAUUGUGCAAAGGAUUUGCAUGGUUGUCUGAUGGAAUCGAAGAAUAAUUUACAUAGAAAGAAUUUCCUUUGUUAUCGUUCGUAGUUUUUCAUAUAUGAAAGAAACUUCUAGAUUGAUAAAAUAUCUCAAGACAGAGUUUGACAAAAUCAAGUAUUGUAUAAAUAUUUGAACUUGUAAACUCCCAACCAUAUCAUACUUUUUGUUUGAGAAUAAUGCUUGUUAAUUCGACAUAUUUUUGUAUAACUUUGUUUACUAAGUUUAGGGCUUGCAUAUUGGAUAUGGAUGAGUUUUGUUUAGAACCAUAUGUGGUGUAAUAUGAGUUGUUUAAAAGUUUGCUGUUUUGUGCUUGAUCAUUGUGUGCUUAAAAGAAAGCGGGAAAUGAGUGAAGAUGGGAACCUACCAGCAGCAGCUGUGGUUUAGAGAAAUGGGGACAUUGAUUUUGCUAUAAGCUAACUGUUUAAGCUUUUGCUUUUGUUGUUUGUGUAUGGAUACUUAGAGAAGUCUGUUUCUGAGGAGAACUUAUAAUUUUGUAAUUGUACAUGUCUUACAAACAUUUUAUACCGUUUUGAUGGUUUAUUUAUGAAUUUAUCUUUCAUUUUUUGUUAAGAAAAAACUGAAGGGAUGGUGCCAAUUUCUUUCAUUUUCUUACAUUUGAAAGGAGGGCCAUAGUAGAGUCAGUACUGUGGUUGCCACUAAUUCAUAGGAAGUAGAAAUCUAAAUUCUGUGAAUAAACUGGCUGUCACUUCAAUUCACAUGCUCGUUGACAUACUUUAGAUUAAGAAUUAGUUGUGGUUUCACCUUACAUGCAUUUUAUUGGAGUUUUAUGGCUACACGUGUUUUUAUGGUAAAACAGUGGCUGUAUGAAGCUGCUGCUAUAGCUUUUGAGGCUAUACCACGUACUUUGGCUCAGAAUUGCGGGGUGAAUAUGAUUAGAACAAUGACGGCGCUGCAGGGAAAGGUUUGAAUCUGUUUUGUAUGGCUUUGUUCAGUUUUUUUAUGAUUUGUCAUUUCUAUAUACGUUCUGAUGCAUCAUUAUUAUUUUGGUCAGAAUAUGAUGCAUCAUUUAGAUCCUAACCACAAUUUUUUUUCCAUAGCAUGCAAAUGGUGAAAAAUCAUGGAUUGGCAUUGAUGGUAACACUGGUGUGAUAACUGAUGUGAAAGAGAAAAAGAUAGGUGGAUAUCUUUUUGGCUUACUAUUGUUGCUCUCUUUUAUUUCCUUCGCUAUCUCAAUAUUCACAUUUGUUGGGUGAUUUAUAUUUGCUGAAAGCUCUGAAAUAGGACUUUUAAUGUAGUAUUGUUCUCAAAUGUAUCCAUUAUAUGUCCCUUUAUUGAUAUGGCAUAAGUGUCAAUCUUCUGGUUUAUAUUGUCGAUUUGCUUCAGUAGUAGUUCUAGUUUAGAGCUUCUCCCAAUAUAUUUCGACAGCACUCAUGUGAGGGGAAGUGCUGUUGUCGUGGUUAUUAAAAAAUUUCCCAAUAAAUUUAUUUUGUUGGUAAGGCUGUUCAUUUUGAGGAUUUAUGAUGUCAGAUAUGGGAUGCCUACAACGUGAAGGGCCAGAGUUUUAAAACGGCCAUAGAAGCUGCUUGCCUACUUCUCAGAAUCGAUGACAUUGUGAGUGGGAUGAAGAAGAAGCAGCCUCCUGGUGCCAAAGCUCCUUCCAAGCCUCAAGUUGAGACAGAAGGCGAUGCAGAUAAUGAGCAAAUAAUUCCGGAGUGCUUAUGGAGAGCACGUGGUUAUCUCAGUUUGAAUGAAGUUUUGCUUUAAAGAAGAAAAAAAGGAGCAUUAUAAGUUUGAUGAGGAUAUUUUUUAGGUUUGUAAUGUCACCUUAACUUGGUAGUGUGUGUUUUGUCCCUCUUCUUUCUUUCUCAAUCGACGAGGUGGAAAGAAGAGAAGUCUUCUUAUUGGAGAAUGCUAAUGUUAGUUUCACAUGUCAUCUGUGUAUCGAACACAAUUUCUUUGUUCAACUUCGUGGAUUGGCACAGUGGAGCUUAUUUCUACCAUUCUUCUGAAUGAUUGUUAACAGUCCAAACUUAGUUAUUGACACAAAUAUGUACUUUUCUAAAAGUAAGAAAACAAAAAGUUUUUCAUGGCCAAGCAUCAAUUUUAAUAAGCCAGUGUGGCACCUAAAACACACAACGUACGGCACUGUACACAAACUUGUGGAGGAAAGGAUUCAUAUUGAGCAUCUAUUUUAUCCACUUAGGGAGAGUAAGAAUUGAUCUUGUCACUCCCAUAUUCAGCCAAUAUGCCACGUAUUGAUUCAAAGCAGAGCUUAAAAAUGAAACGAAAGCAGAUAAAAAACCCUAGACACGGCCAGCUGAUGCAACUGAAAUUGGCAAAUAGCAAAGAUGACAUGAAGUCUGGGACUUCACAAGCGAGGCUGAACGAGGAUGAAGCUGUGAGGGUUGCAUACAAACAUGGGACGCCUCUUGAAGGAGGCAAAAUUGGUGAUUCUGAGCCUGUGGAUUUAUUUUCCAGUCCUCAUCAUAUUCCAAAGUAGGGCAAUAUGCCUACAAUACAAAGGCAAUACGAAGGCAAUACGAAGGCAAUAUGACCACAAUAAAUAUACAAUACGAAGGCAAUAGUAGGGCAAUAUGGCCACAAUAAAUAUACAAUACGAAGGCAAUAGUAGAGCAAUAUAAGUACAAUAUAAAGGCAAUAUUAGGGCAAUAUACAUAUAAUACAUACACAUUACAGUAUUAAGGGGAUACAAACACAAUACAAAUGCAAUGUUAAGUCAAUGUACAUACAAUACAUACACAUUACAGACAACAUUUCACACAUGCGAAAGAAAUCGCCUCCCAAACUGAACAAUACUAUCUAUCCCACGAAGGGAAAAUGAAGGCAACAAAAGAUCCAUGUACUCGGGUGAGAUGAACUGAAGCAGCAUUCACCGUUACUACAGGUCCAUCAAAAGAUCCAUGUCUUUGUCCUUUCUUCUCGCUGCAUGCACGAGGCUAUGAUGAGCCAUUCCAUCAAAACCCAUAUUCAGUACCUGCCAGACACCAGCUACAUCAAUUUCACUCCAAUUGUGGUCUGGUGAGAUGACCGAAGCAUAAUCUCGGAACAUUUCGAAGCCGUUGUUGAAACAUUCAACCAUUUCAUGGUUAUAUUCUUCAGAUUGUGUGAAUGUUUCGAGGGCAUUUUUCUUUAUGUCUUCCAAUUUCAACUUCAAGGACUCUAACUCUUUGCUCCGACUUUUUGCUUUAAGAGCUUGCUUCACCUCUCCAGCGUAUGCUUUGUUCAACUUGUUGGCCAAGUUUCCCAUAACUUGGCCAUGAAUAUCGCACUUACUCUCCCACCAAUCCGUUGCCUUUGACAUAUAUUGGAGGUGGUGCUUGACGGCAGAGAUUUUGUCAAGCGGAUCAUGAGUGUCAGCCUCACUUCCAGAUGAAGUGGGAUCAUGAUUGGGAGUCCGAGGUGGAGAUGGGAAUGGCACAUGCCAGGGCUGGUCCCCCGGGUAACUCACAUGCUCGUUAGGAGGGCGUACAUCUGACAUGUUGAAGUAUUACUGGGGACAAUUCACAGCUGUUGCCUGUAACCAAACAAAUAGAGGUACAUUCAGUCUCCAGUUGUAAACGACUAUAUGGUUAGGUUGAGUGGAGAAUAUUUGCCUUUCAGUAAGACUAAUUACCUUUCCCGUUAAGAAGGUGCCUCUGUUGCAGUUCUAUAUAGGAAGGUUCAGUUAUAUGUACGAACUUAUAUGAGGUAAAUUGGGUUUUGUGUUGGUGCAUUAAAUUGAUGGGAUUCAAAACUACACCAUUAACUCCUUGGCUGUAAGUUACAGCAGUACAACAUGACAUUAACAACAAUAAAAUUGUAUCUCUAUGUAUUUUUGGCAACUGGGCAAAAAUAAUGUUGACGAGUGGGUUCAGAUUCUCCUCCUAAACGUAUUUUUGGCAACUGGGCAGCUGUGUUCAAGCACCCCAAAUUAGGAGGGGCAGAGUACACUGACACUUCAUUUCUUUCAGUACCAUUAUCACCACCAUGCAUCGCCUCCACCUCGCUAAAAUCAAUCAUAUCCAUAAAAUCUGUCCCUACUUCACCUCCCAAAUCAGUGACAUUUGUAUUAUUCCAAGUUACUUCAUUGCUUUCAACAAUGGCAACUGAAGAAUGACCCAUCCGACUACUAUCUGUCGUGAUAUGCAUACUAUGAACUACAUCAUUUGUCAGUCCUUUAUCUUCUAUACUCAUGAGUAAGGGAGCUAGUUUUGAAGGUGUUACCUCGGAAUUGUACUUCAUAAAAAAAUUGACAUCAUCAUCGUCCUCAAUCUUUAUGCGCUUCCACUCAUUCGAGGCCACCAAAACUGAGAAUUUUAAGCAAACCUUGUCUUCCCUGCUGUUUGUAUUACCAAUCUGAUGCACACGGUCCAACAGUUCAGCAAAAUUGAUGGUCCGUGGAACUAUUAAGCCUUUUGAGUCACCCCCUUCGUAUUUGCACAUCUUCUUCGAGGUGACCCAUUUUCCAUUGUAGCACACGAGAAUAACAAUUGUCUCCAUUUCUGACCAUGACAAAACAACAUUUCAUUCACACAAUAUAACCACAAUAACCAUACAAUACAAUAGCAAUAUAACCACAAUAUAACAGCAAUAUAUAGGCAAUAUAAUGGCAAUAUAACAGCAAUACGACUGUAAAAUAAGAGGAACACAUCAGAAUCACACUAUACAGAUCUACUACAUCAAAUAGAAAUUCCCAAGUUUCAAGAUUCACAUAUCCAGACCAAUCUAAAUGCAAUUGGUACAAACCCAGAUGAAUGAGCAUGAAUAUUCAACAAAACCUAACCCAAAUAAAUUAAAGCCAAAACGAAUUUAACACAAACCCAAACAAUCAAACUAUAACCCAUUUCACAUAAUACUGAUAUUAAGAAAAUAACCAUCAACACUACCUUUUCGAGGUCGGCAAUCCAGUAGAGCUUCAAGGUUGCAAGCAGCUAUUCAGAAGACAUAGCUAAAGGGAGGGGUUCGCGAUUCCAAACAGAGAGCAAGAGAUCGAAUAGGGGAGAAAGGGUCAUAACGAAGCUAGAGAGAGACAGCUGCGCUAUGAGAAACAGAGCAAAGAGAGAGACAGAGAGUUGUGCUAGAGAGACAGAGAGAGAGCCAAGAGAGAGAGAGCCAAGAGCGAGAGAGCCAAGAUAGAGAGAGCCAAGAGAGACACAGAGAGCUGUGAUAGACAGAUACCAAAGAGAAAGAGAGCUGUGCCAGAGAGAGAGAGAGAGAGCUGUGUGAGCUUCUUCUCUCCAAAAUUUCUGAACUUGUGAAAAAUCAGCAAUAAGUGGGCAAUAAUUUUAUAUUUAUAGGUGAUAGUUGUACAAAAAUUGGGAAAGGAUGGUAUUUUUAAUUAAAAUUAUGAAAUGGGUGUCAUUUAGGGCUAUUUCCCAAUAGUUUUUGGGUAUGUUUCUAAAGUGCAUUCCAUGUGGUGUUUUUUUUAUAAUUUCAACCACUAUUUUGGAUAUAUUACUAAAGCUCCCAAAUUAAAAUUACGAAUCUCUAUCCCCAAUUUCCAAGAUACUAUUGGAAGUAUUGGUGGCUGGGUGGCUGCUAGCCGUGAUUAGCUAUUGGUGGUUGUCCCAUUUACACGUUUGUUUCCCUUAAUUUAGGGUGACUUAAUCUUGUUACUUUUAAUUAGAAUUUCCCUAUAAUUAGGGAUUAAAUCACGAAAAUUAAAGUUGUGGCAUGUUGGCCAACAGCUCUUAGACUGGCCAAUGGUUCUUAACCCGGCCAGUGGAUAUUAGCCUUCCCCAACUUAUGCAUAUAUACCUUUGUAAUCUUGUAAAGAAGAUAUAAUGAGAAAACAUAUUCUCCCCAUCAUUUUCCACACAUACUUUUAACAAUCCCCAGAAGAGGUUAAAGCAAAUCCUCCAUCAUCCAUCCGAACAAGAUAAAGCUAAUCUAGCAACAGCAUGUGUGGUGCUCUAUUUUGGCUAAUAUAGAUAGGAAAUCAAUGAAAAAACAAGUUAACAAGAUAAUUUUGAACGGAGAUACUCUGAAAUUAUUUGUCUCUCACAUAGUCAUACUCAUACGUGAAGACUUAAGAAGGCUUUUCUAGCCCACCUAGUUUGACAAAAGAACAAAAAAUAAUAAUAAUGAUUAAAGGCUUUCAGGACAUCUUUUUGGUCUUGAUGAGUAGGAAAACAAGUGCAAGUGGAAAUAGGUAACCCAAUGUAUGAAAAGAGAAGAAAGAAACCAUUGACUGAUGCCCAUUUUCUUACCCUGUUGUGUCCUUUCAUGGUCUAAGUGUUCCCACGUACCCCUCCAUUUUCUUUCUUAAACCUUGUCCACUUAUCUCACUGGGUUUGCUAUUAGAGCUCAUUGACAGAGGAGAGAGUCCUGUUCUUCACAGAAUUGAAGCAAAUCAUUGCAUUUCUUUUAUGAGCUUUACUAUCCCAUCAGAUCAGAUCUAUCCAAGACUUGGUAUGUUUUCUUCAUCGGUUUAGAUUCAUGGUCCAAGAAUUUUACUCUGUAAUUGAUAAAGCAUGCAAUUCAAGUUAAGUUAGGAUUUGCAUAAAAUAAAACUGCUCCAUUUUGCACAUGUUGAUUGCUUAUAUAUGCACCAUUUUCAUAUUUUGUUUUGAUCUUAAAACAUAUGCAUGUAUGUGAGAGCAAUACUUUGGAAAUUCUGUCAAUUAGGGUUGCGUAAGAGGUGAAUCCAUAUGGACUCAGCUCCAACAGCUCUCUUGGUUGGCAAAAUUAUGGACAUUCUCGAGAACGAAGCAUACUCCAUAGCCGCUGUCCGUGAUGAAGUUGAUGAGAUUAAGCAGGAGCUGGUAAGCAUGACAUCCUUCCUAGAGGAUGUUGAGGGCAAGAAAACACAGACAGAAACACAGAAAGCUUGGGUCACAAGUGUCAGAGACUUAACCAGUGAUGUUGAAGAUAUCAUCGAUGAAUUCAUGUAUCAUACGUAUGAGCAGCAAAGUAGGGGACGAUUUGCAAGGUGGCUCCACAGGACCAUUCAUAUUCCAAAGAAUCUCUUCUAUCGGCGUAAAAUUGCCAACAAGUUACACAAAAUCACUAAAAUGAUCAAGGCCAUUCCAGAGAGAAAUAAGAGAUAUGCUCUUGAUGGUGUAGUAGGAACAAGUUGGGAUGAUAUUAGCAAAUGGGUCAAGAACCAAGCAGUGUCUUCUCUCUUUAUUAACAAAGAUGAACUCGUCGGGAUUGAUGGAAAGAAGCAAACAUUAACUGCAUGGCUGCUCAAUGAAGAGCAACACCUAACUGUUGUCUCCGUGGUCGGGAUGGGAGGAUCCGGGAAAACAACUCUAGUUGCCAAAACCUUCGCCAACGAAACUGUAAAGAGACAUUUUGAUUCUUAUGCUUGGAUCACUGUCUCCCAAACUUAUGUGAUUGAAGACUUGUUUCGGAGCUUGAUCAAGGAACUCCACCAAACAAGGAAUGAAUAUGUCCCUGCAGACCUGAUAUCCAUGGGCUACAGAGACUUGAUACAACUUAUGCUGAACUACCUGGAGUCUAAAAGGUACCUAGUAGUACUGGAUGACGUGUGGGAUAUCAAACUUUGGAGAGAAAUAAGGAUAUCACUUCCAGAUAGACAGCUUGGAAGUCGAAUCAUGUUUACAACUCGAAAAGAAGACAUAGCAUUCCAUUGUUUUGGAGUUGAAAGCCAUGUUCACUGUAUGCAACCCCUGGAAAAGAAUUACGCUUGGGAGCUUUUCAGCAGGAAAUCAUUCUCUACCUUUGAUGGUAAAUGUUGUCCACCAGAGCUUGAAAAAUUAGCUUGGGAACUCAUGGAAAAGUGUAAAGGCCUACCUCUAGCUAUCAUAGCUUUAGGUGGUCUUAUGUCUUCCAAGAAAUUAGCUGCGGAGUGGAGUAAAGUCUACAAUGGCUUAAAUUGGCAUCUAACAAGCCAUCAUUUGUUAGAACCUGUGAAGAGCAUCUUGUUACUUAGUUUCAAUGAUUUGCCAUAUCGCUUGAAGCAUUGUUUUCUAUAUUGUUCCCUUUUUCCAGAAGAUUAUUUGAUUCGAAGGAAAAGGCUCAUUAGGUUAUGGAUAGCUGAAGGAUUUGUUGAACAUGCUAGAGGGGUCACACCUGAACAAGUUGCAGAUAGCUAUCUUAUGGAACUCAUUUUUCGUAACAUGCUACAAGUUGUAGAGAGGAAUGAAACCGGUAGGCCAAAAUCAUGUAAGAUGCAUAUGACCUUAUGCGAGAGCUUGCUCUGUCAACAUCUGAGAAAGAAAAAUUUUCUAUUGUACAUGAUGGGAAAGAAGUACUGGAAGACAUUGGAGCCCGCCGUUUGUCAAUCCAAACAACCCAAGGAGGAAUUGAAUCUUGCAUUGGUAUGUCACGCCCUCGUUCUUUUCUUGUAUUCGUUACUGGCAUAUUCUCAUUUUCUUUCUCAAAGUCAUUGCCUUCUGGAUUCAAAUUGUUGAGGGUUUUAGAUUUGGAGGAUGUCCAAAUUGAUAAGCUGCCACAUAAUUUAGUGUACUUAUUCAACUUAAGAUACUUAAGUUUGAAGGGAACUCAAAUUAAGGAGCUUCCAAAAGCCAUAGGACUGCUCCGCAACCUUCAGACAUUGAACAUCCUCAAUACUAAGAUAGAGGUACUUCCCAGAGGUAUUUCCAAGUUGCAAAACCUGCGCCAUCUAAUUAUGCUCCGUCAUUCUGGAGAGUAUAUGGCCUUCAAAACUGCCCAUGGGACAAGAGUGCCAUUUAAUAUUAGUAAGCUGAAGAAAUUGGAAGUUUUGUCAUGUGUUGAAUCAGAAGGAAACAUUAUAAGGCUCAUUGGGAAUAUGACUCAACUUACAAGGAUUGGCAUUACGAAUGUAAAAGAGAGAGACGCAAUGGACCUAUGUGAUUCAAUUCAAAAGUUGAAGCUACUUCAGUGCUUGGCUUUAAGGGUAAGUGGUGAGGAGGAGUUUCUUGACGUCAAUGCAUUAUCUUCACCUCCUCCACACCUUCGAAAACUUAUUUUUGGCAGCAAGCUGCAAAAGGUACCACCUUGGUUCUCUUCGCUCCAGAACCUUACAUAUCUGUAUCUUCAUUGGACGAGACUUGACGAGGAUUUACUACCUCAUAUUGAAGCAUUGCCAUGUCUGGGAAGGCUUUUACUUGUCAAUGCCUAUGUUGGUAAUGAGUUGUGUUUCAACAGAGGCUUUCCAAAGCUUACUAUUCUGGAGUUGUUUAAUUUCCCCUUAUUGAAUAAGAUAACUAUAGCAGAAGGGGUGAUGAGGAAUCUCCGGUUAUUAACACUUGCUAGAUGUAUGGAGUUAAAGGCAUUGCCACAGGGUUUUGAAUACCUUAGUAAGCUAGAAACACUUGAAUUGUUGUCUGUUUCAAUGCAACUUAUAGAGUCCAUACAAGAAGGAGGGGUGGAUCAUCCAACGGUAAAACACAUCACCGUCAUUACAAAUUAUUCUUUGAAAUGCUUGAUAAGAGCUCAUCAUAGUUCAUCCACAUGAAGGUACGUUAAUUUUUUCCUUGCUAGAAGGUAUGUAAUUUGAACUGUUCUAAUAGAAAUUGUUCCAAAUUAUUCCAAAUUAACAUUUUGGUAAAGCCAUAUAAUUUGUUCAUGGACCAAAUACUAAAUCCUUAAUAGUUAGUUUCUUUAGCAUAAUAUAAGCAUUGAAAUUUCAUCCGAUUUCCAUCCUGGUUUCAUAAUGCUCUUUUUUUCUGCAGAAUCUAGGCUGAGAGGUGAAGAUUCAAUCCUGUUUGCGCCAGGAAGAACCCUUUCUGUUGUGAAGCUGCAAACACUAAAUCUUAUUUUCUUUUGUUAAUGCUUGAAUCAAGUAAUACCAAGACUCUCUGCUCAUAGAUUGCAUUUUCAGUACUGUCUGUUUGUAUGUCUUGUAAUAUUGUUGGAGAUUGACUCACUUUAGUAGCAAUUGAUAACAGAUUUGAGCCAUGCAUUCUUUUUUGUUUCUUUUGUGUUUCAAUUGGUGAAAGAUAUGCUACUACUUCUGCUCAGGCCUGCAUAAUUUUUUCACAACACUAGCCUAGAAAUUCGUUUCUAGCUUUGAAGCUGUAAAUAUUUAGCCACCCCAUCCCCAGAAAUUUCAAUUCAUUUACUGUUAUUUUUAAUUUGGCACCUCAAAACCAACCAAGUAAAGAAUUCAUAUGUGUUAGUUUUAUUCCCAAGUUGAGUAACUGAAAUUUAUAUAUACAAGAAAAUGUUUAACUCAUAAAGAUGUUUUUACCAAGAAAUUGAAGGAAGCAAUAUGUUAGUUUGAGUAAGUCAUUUUGAGAGGAAAUUAGAUACAGAUUACACAAGUCGUAACGAGGAAGAAGUACAAAGAUGAACAUUAUUUAAGAGAGAUACAUAGGCAUUAUACUCAUUUCUUAUGUAUUAAAUAGUUUUUGGGUAUGUUUCUAAAGUGCAUUCCAUGUGGUGUUUUUUUUUUAUAAUUUCAGCCACUAUUUGGGGUAUAUUACCAAAACUCCCAAAUUAAAAUUAGGAAUCUCAAUCCCCAAUUUCCAAGAUUUUUUUUUUUCUACGUAUCAUUUAAUAAGUUCCGUACUUAAGUUGCCAAACAAUGGAUUACAUACAUACUAUUGGAAGUAUUGGUGGCUAGGUGGCUGCUAGCCGUGAUUAGCUAUUGGUGGCUGUCCCAUUUACACGUUUGUUUCCCUUAAUUGAGGGUGACUUAAUCUUGUUACUUGUAAUUAGAGUUUCCCUAUAAUUAGGGAUUAAAUCACGAAAAUUAAGGUUGUGGCGUGUUGACCAACAGCUCUUAGACUGGCCAAUGGUUCUUAACCCGGUCAGUGGAUAUUAGCCUUCCCCAACUUAUGCAUAUAUACCUUUGUAAUCUUGUAAAGAAGAUAUAAUUAGAAAACAUAUUCUCCCCAUCAUUUUCCACACAUAUUUUUAACAAUCCUCAGAAGAGGUUAAAGCAAAUCCUCCAUCAUCCAUCCAAACAAGAUAAAGCUAAUCUAGCAACAGCAUGUGUGGUGCUCUAUUUUGCACGACUACAAAAAAGCAAAAAGACGACGGUAAAUCACCGUCGUGUAUUCGGUUUUUCAAUGGUCGUGGAAUCCAUCGUCAUCUUUUCCCUCAUAAACCACGACGCUAAAUCACCGUCGUUGUUAAAAUAUACAACGUCAUCAACAAAUACAAAACGACGUCUUUGUACUGCAAAAAGAUCUAAAAAAGCAGUCGAGGAUGAGAAUAGACGACCAACUCUCUAAAAAAACCGUCGUUAAAAAGGAAAAAUAUGACACAUAUUAACAGAACAAGGCCGCAAGAUAGACAUACAACGACGAAAAUUAAAAUAAGACGCCGUUAAAUAUCAUUUUCACGACAAUAAAAAAUAAGACGUCUUUAAAUACAUUAGAAGACGACGUUAUUGAUACCUACUACGUCGCCUAUAUAAAAACAGCCGUCGUAAAAUAAAUUUUCCACUUCGAUUUUUCUAUAAAAGAUGACGUGGAAAUAGUUGUCAGUGUCAUUAUUUACGACGUAUGUAUUUAUACAGUAGACGAUGAACAACGAAACAACGUCGGUUACAAAUAUAUGAGAGUCGUAUUACAAAAUUUAUACGUCCUAUUUUCAGAAACAAACAACGACGAUAAAUAUUAGACGUUGUUAAAUAAAACAACGUCGAAAACAAAUAAAAACAGACGUGUUUAGUCUGCUAAAGUUCUAAAAAAUAGUUGAGGAUGAGAAUAGACGACCAACUCAAACAAAUCACCGUCGUUAAAAAGGAAAAAUAUGACACAUAUUAAAAGAACAAGGCCGCAAGAUAGACAUACAACGACGACAACUAAAACACUACGCCGUUAAAUAUAAUUUUCACGACAAGAAAAAAUAUGACGUCUUUAAAUACAUGAGAAGACGACGUUAUUGAAAUCUACUACGUCUCUUAUUUACAAACAACCGUCGUGAAAUAAAUUUUCCACUUCGAUUUUUCUAAAAAAGAUGACGUGGAAAUAGUUGUCAGUGUCAUUAUUUACGACGUAUGUAUUUAUAUAGUUGACGUUGAAAUGCGAAACAACGUCGGUGGCAUUUAUAUAGUCGACGUUGUAUUUAUAUGUAUUCAUUACUCACGACGCACUUAUUAAUAUAGACGACGUUGAACUUCUAAACAACGUCGGUUACAAAUAAAUGAGAGCCGUAUUACAGAACAUAUAGACGGCGUUGAUUAUGAUGAGAGCCGUAUUACAAAUAACGUCGUUUAAUUGAUAUUAGACGGCGGUUAUAAUGAAUUACCGUCGAAAUUCAUUUCGUUCCUCUUCGUUUAUAAAAGAACUUGCGACGUGGAAAAUGUAUGAUGACGUCGUAUUUUUUAACGUUCAGAUUAUAUAUCUCGUUUUUUAGACGUCGGUAUUAUGGGAUUGGAGUCGUGUUAUUUUGAAUUACAUGGCGGUUCUUAAUCCUUCCCCGACGUGAUAUCCUGAAUAAUUGCUUCACAAUAGCGUCGUGGUUCUUCAUUGUUACGUUGCUUUAAGACGUCGGUAAAUAUGCUGAAUAACUAGUUCACAAUAACGUCGUGUUUUAUUUGAACAGACGUCGUUUUUUAUGCAGAAUAUAAUGAUGUAAUCUGGAACCAGUAUUUUUUGCACUGAUUGUUUUGUGGCCAAAACCUGUAUAAUGAAAGUGAAGAAAUCACAUUACAAUAUAUUACAAAAUUAAUGUCAUACACUGCCAAUUACAUAAGCAUCAUUCAAUCCAUAUAUCUUCACACCCAUCUCGAAUAUUUUGACCACCUAACUCACCCAUCAGUUCAUCAAAUGUGUCAACAUUUGGCAUCCCUCUAGUAAAUGGCUCACACUCAAUUAUCACAUCACCUAAGACUUCAUCACCAAUAACAUCAUUAUAUUCUCUAUUAGGCAUUGAUAACACUACCGACCAACCACAAUGCAUCGGGUCGUCAACAAAAAAUAUUUGUUUGACUUGAGAAGCCAAAACAAAUUGGUCAUUCCUAUGUCCAAUUUUACUCAAAUCUACAAGGGUAAAUCCAAGUUCGUCGACUACAAUACCAGAAUUAUCUAUCCAAUCACACCUAAAGACUGGGAUUGUAAACUUUUGGUAGUCAAGGUCCCAAAUUUCUUGAAUGACACCAUAGAAACCCAUAUUUGAGAGAAUUGGGUUUUUAUCCUUGGCACUAGCAACUUGCAUGGUAUGUGCAAGUAAAUAAACUCCACUAUUUUGAGUUGUCCGCACAUCAUCUUGUGCCUUGAUAUUGAAUUUAAUACCUUUAAUAAGAUAGCUCCUAUAUAAUGGCACUGCCAUGUUUGGACCAGCUGCUAGCCACCUUAAAUUUUCUGAUACGCCAUGAUUGUCUUCCUCAAGUUCACUUUGAACUUGCAAAUUAAUCAUAUCUUAAUUCAAUCUAACAUAGAAAUAAGAAGAAAAUUAAAAGAGAAAUAUGUUAUUCAACAACAUAUACCUUGAAGCGUAGCCAUUGAAUGAAAGUGCUAUUGUGCUUAUCCUGCAGCCACUUUGUUCUCUUUCUAAAUUUUGGAUAAGCAGUCUUGAUGUGGAUCAUAUGUUGCCUACAUGACACGAAAAAUUCAAGCAUUACGGUCCCAAAUAUAUAAGAUAAACAUAAGAAAUAAUUUAAAAUGGAAACUUAAAGAAUAAAACUCAUACGUACUCGAUAUAAGGUAGGACUUCCUCCGUAUUCUCCAAUUCAACAUAACAGAUAAUGUAAUCCAUGAACCCAUUAAACAGAAAAUCCAUGAACCCAUACCUAUAAGCACAUUAUUAACAGAUCGCAAAGCAUAUACCUAAAACCCUUUAACAAAACAACUUAAUAUCAUUCAAUGAAUUUACCAGGGGAAGAUAGGGUUUGUACUUACAGGUUGGACGAGCUCACAGAUUCGACGGAGCCUGGAGAGUGCAACUUUUAAUUAGAGCAGAAGUGAGAGAGCGAAAUGUUAUGUUGCGCGAAAUCUGAAAAUUUUAGGGUUCAGGGUUAGAAGUAUAAGAAUAAGAGCCAAAUCUAAAAAAUUUAGGUAGCGCGAAAAUUUUUAGAGAGCGCGCUCUUUAAAACGUCGAAAGAAAAACCAUGGCGAAAGUUCUACAAGAACCGACGUAAAUGUAAUAUUCCACGACGGAAACACUGAACGUAACGCCGUUUAUUUUGACGCUUCAUUUUUCGGAAUAAUUUUAAAUUUAUUUUGAAUAUUUUGAUAUAAAGACGACUGAAAAACCACGUCGGGGUUAAGAAAUUAAAAACGUUGUAAAUUAUAAUAGACGACUUACAUAUUAAAAUGACGUCGUUUAAAGUAUAAACCAUGUUGGAUAUUUUACUGCACGACGUAACAUAUGUAUUCCACAACUCAACCACCGUCGUUAAAAAUUAAUACCCUAAACCCUUAAAACUAAAUUAUAUAAUUUAAAAAAUUAAGUUUAUAAAAGGGUUUAUGGUUUUACAGCCUAAUAUAUACCCUAGACUACCCAAAAAUUAUACUUUAAAAAUAAACCCCAAUAAAUAACAACCCUAAUCUCUAAACCCUAGACUCUAAACCCUAAACCAUAAAACUAGAAGUGAUUUUAUGACUCAUCAAAACAAUUUUGUUUUGGAUGGUCAUUUUAAAUUUUUGUUAUUCAAAAUGAAUUUUUUCAAGGUUUAGGGGGAAGAAAAUAUAUCAAUGACUUCAUAGGAGUUGACUUUGCAUUUUUCUGAUUUAUUUUAAAUUUAUUUUGAAUAUUUUGAUAUAAAAAUAAUAAAAUAUUCUUAUCACAAUAACAAACCACGUCGGGGUUAAGAAAUUGAAGACGUUGUAAAUUAUAAUAGACGACUUACAUAUUAAAAUGACGUCGUUUAAAGUAGAAACCAUGUCGGAUAUUUUACUGCACGACGUAAUAUAUGUAUUCCACGACUCAACCACCGUCGUUAAAAAUUAAUAUUAAAAUGACGUCGUUUAAAGUAGAAACCAUGUCGGAUAUUUUACUGCACGACGUAAUAUAUGUAUUCCACGACUCAACCACCGUCGUUAAAAAUUAAUACCCUAAACCCUUAAAACUAAAUUAUAUAAUUUAAAAUUUUAAGUUUAUAAAAGGGUUUAUGGUUUUACAGCCUAAUAUAUACCCUAUACUACCCAAAAAUUAUACUUUAAAAAUAAACCCCGAUAAAUAACAACCCUAAUCUCUAAACCCUAGACUCUAAACCCUAAACCAUAAAACUAGAAGUGAUUUUAUGACUCAUCAAAACAAUUUUGUUUUGGAUGGUCAUUUUAAAUUUUUGUUAUUCAAAAUGAAUUUUUUCAAGGUUUAGGGGGAAGAAAAUAUAUCAAUGACUUCAUAGGAGUUGACUUUGCAUUUUUCUGAUUUAUUUUAAAUUUAUUUUGAAUAUUUUGAUAUAAAAAUAAUAAAAUAUUCUUAUCACAAUAACAAACCACGUCGGGGUUAAGAAAUUGAAGAUGUUGUAAAUUAUAAUAGACGACUUACAUAUUAAAAUGACGUCGUUUAAAGUAGAAACCAUGUCGGAUAUUUUACUGCACGACGUAACAUAUGUAUUCCACGACUCAACCACCGUCGUUAAAAAUUAAUACCCUAAACCCUUAAAACUAAAUUAUAUAAUUUAAAAUUUUAAGUUUAUAAAAGGGUUUAUGGUUUUACAGCCUAAUAUAUACCCUAUACUACCCAAAAAUUAUACUUUAAAAAUAAACCCCAAUAAAUAACAACUCUAAUCUCUAAACCCUAGACUCUAAACCCUAAACCAUAAAACUAGAAGUGAUUUUAUGACUCAUCAAAACAAUUUUUUUUUGGAUGGUCAUUUUAAAUUUUUGUUAUUCAAAAUGAAUUUUUUCAAGGUUUAGGGGGAAGAAAAUAUAUCAAUGACUUCAUAGGAGUUGACUUUGCAUUUUUCUGAUUUAUUUUAAAUUUAUUUUGAAUAUUUUGAUAUAAAAAUAAUAAAAUAUUCUUAUCACAAGAACAAACCACGUCGGUGUUAAUAAAUUGUAGACGUUGUAAAUUGUAAUAGACGACUAAGUUGUUAAAAUGACGUCGUUUAAAUGAGAAACCAUGGCGGAUAUUUGACUAUCCGACGUAAAAUAUAUAUUCCACGACUUAACCGCUGUCGUUACAAAGUACUACCCUGAACCCUUAAGAAAUUGAAAACGUUGUAAACCAUAAACGACUCAAUUGUUCAAAGAACGUCGUCUAAAUAUCCUUUUACGUCGGAUUUGUUUAAAACGAAACAACAAAAAACGAUGGUUUUUGACUUUAUUAGGUCGUUUGAAAAGUAUUACACGUCGGUUACGCAAUUUGUAUGUUUGUUUUUUUUUAAUUUAAGAAAACCUCAACAAAUUUUUACAUUAUAUAUUAUAGACAAAAUUUAUACAUUAUACAUAAAUAUCAAGUGUUCAAUAAUUCCCAAACAAACUCUGCCCAUUCAUUCCGGACUUCAUCAAUUGCUUCUUAGGGGUAUGGCGCUUCCUGUUUUCCCUUGGCAUACUGCAUAAACAAUGACUAUUAGGGUUUAUAAAUAAAAAGAAAUUCAAUCACAGACGACCAUAUUUUUCAUAACCGACGUAGUAUAUCUAUUCAACGACGGUAAUUUUACAUGACCGUCGUUGAUAAUACAAAAAACGACGUAAAAUGUAUGAAGGUAAUUUCUUCUUACCUUCUUCUCAAACGCCAAGGAAGGAUCCAUGAUGAUGUCCCUCAUGAAGCGCAUCACAUAAUACCCGCAUUCGACACUGCUGGGUUGCUUUGGUGUGCCUGACAGAGUUUUCCAAAUUACUGCUUUACGGCCUGCUCUGGCUAUGUGAGAAUUAUAUAUUUUUAUAGCACUGUUCACGAUGUUUUUGCCCUCUUCAUCGACCACACGAUUUCCGGGCAGAGGAUCCAGAAAAUAGACGGUUUCCCUCUUUGCUCUCACAAUCAGCAAGAUCCAAUGACGGCUGCACAAAAUUAAUAUAAAAACGACGGUUAUUUACAAAAACGACGUAUUAUAAUAUUUCACACGACGAAAUAAAGUAGCAAUCGACGACAUUAUAUAUUUAUCACGACGAUAAAUAACUACCGACGUGGUUAGUAGUUUCAAACGACUCAAUAAAAUAAAACACCGACGUGGUUAGUUUAUAAGCUGUCAUUUAUUGAAAAUCAUAAAAACAAAAUCCUGUAAAGGAGACUAACCCUGGAUUGUAAGGCAUCAUGAAAAUCUGUUCACCAUCAGUCUUCUAAAGUCGAGUUGCUACCAAUCGUGAUCUGUCAGCUAUUGUCCCAGAGUUGGCACUAACUGUAGCAGGGUCGAUAAAGCCAACCAUGCUGCACAUAUUUGCUUGUUUCAAAAGAUCAUGUAAGUACCUAAAUAUAUAAAAUAAUAUAAACAAGUCAGCACAAAAAAACACACGACGGUUAUGUAUAACAAAACGACGUAUUAUAAAAUUUCACACGACGUACUGAAAUAGACAACGACGUUAUAAUAUAUUUAUCACGACGGUACAUACUAACGACGUGGUUAGUUAGUUAAGACGACGCAAUAAAUAAACCAACGACGUAUUAUUUUAGAAUGACAAACCUCAUAUAUACAGCAACCACAGUAGCUCCUAUUUCUUCCAUGCUUGCAAAUUGUGUAAUAUCUUCAGGCAGGAUGAAGGUAUCGCGUUCUAGACCAAACACCUCCUUAUCAAUUGUAAAGUUCAGGGUCUUAUCCUGAGGCACGAGUGUCGUUUCCACAUAACGACAAAGGGAUUUUAAAGAAUAUGGCACCUCCAUAUUUGAAUAAUCAACAACUUUAAUAACCUGUUUAAAGAAAUAAAAAAAAUGACGUGGUAAUUCAAUAAAAACGACGGUUUAAGGAAUAAAACGUCGUCUGAAAAGAAUUUAAACGACGGUGAAAAAACCAUCGUGGUGAAUAAUUUAUUACGUCUUAGAAAAAAAUUCCGCCGUCUAAGUUGUAAACAAACGACGGUUUAAAGAAAAAUAUCGACGUCUGAAAUUUUGAAAAACAAAUAAAAAAGGCAAAGUUAUGUGAACAUACCUGGUCGUCAUGCUUUUCUUCAUAUUCUUUCUCCUUUUCAUCUUGUUUUUCUUCUUUCUUCUCUUCAUCUUUUUUUUCUUCUUCCUUCUCUUCAUCUUUUUUUUCUUCAUUCUUCUCUUCAUCUUGAUUUCCUUCAUUUUUCUGUUUUAAGUAAUAAAGAAUGUAGAGAUAGUAAAAAAAUUAAAUUCAAACGUCGUGGUAAGACAAAACACAAGACAGUAUGUAAGAAUUAUGGACGUCUUAAAUUAUUAAACGAUGGUAGAUAGUAAAAAUAACGACGUUUAAUGGCGUGUAAAACAAGUAAACUAAAUACGACGUGGUAUUGAAAUACAAACGACGGUUUAUUUUUAAAAUCGUCGUGGGAUGUAUUUCAAACGACGGUUUUAUUAAUAAUAACGACGUCUAAUAGUUUUUAAAAAAACAGAGAAUUCAAAGUUCAGAUAUGUUACCUUUUCUUCCUGAUGUUUCCCAUUUUUGGCAGUAUCAUCCUCAAAAUGUAGGGAUCUCACAUCACCUCCAGAGCAGCUUGCUUUGUCAGACAUUGGAUUUUUGGGACUUUGGCUAAUUCUUGGUUUAAGCAUGCUUGGAUCAAAAUUGGGAAUUAAUUGGGAAAGCUGACUCAGGAAAUGCUCCCUCUCAGCCUCUACCAAUUGUUUGGUUCUAGCCUCCAUCCUUAAAGCCUCUUCCCUUGCCUUAGCUUCCAUCUUUUUAUUCUCUUCUUGAAGGAGAACUCUUAAACUGUCCUUUAAACGGUCGUCAAAGCUCAUCCUCUGUGGUUUGGGUAAAUUGAAAUAUUGCCUUGGGGAAAUCCCAGCACCUACACCUCUCACUCUGCCUGGAUGAUCGGGGCCCAAAGCCAUGGUCAGCACAUCAUUGCUGCCAGAUACACUGACUUUGCCUUCCGAGACUUGUUUUUACAAUUCAUCCUAAAACAAAGAUAUAUAAAAAAGUAAGAACAAAAAACACACGGCCGUUAUUUAUAUACAAACGACGUAUUAUAUAAUUUCACACGACGCAAUAACAUAUAAAUCGACGUUAUUAUAAUUUAUCACGACGGUAGUUAUACCGACGUGGUUAGUUUUUUAAAACGACGAAAUGAAUAAACCACCAACGUCUUAUGCUUUAUUUACAGAUAACAGAGGGAUGAUUCAAUAUUCACACCUUUAACGACCUUGUUUAAAACAUUUCGACGUAGUAAUUUAAUACAAACGACGCAAAAAUGAACCACCGACAUCUUAUGCUAUAAUUACAGAAAACAGAGUAGUGAUUCCUGAUUUAGACCUUUAACGACGUUUGUAAAAAAUUUCGACGUGGUAAUAUCAUUCACACGACGCAAAAUAUAACAUAAGACGUAAUAAGAAUUAUUCACAGUUUAAUAAAAAUUUAAAACAGAGUGAGUAGGCUUACAAUUAAUUUUGCUUUCUCUGCCACCCUUGGAUUCGGGAUGUUACCAUGUUUGUCCUGUCUAGCUCUCUUCCAUAAGGUAGAUCGAUCAAUUUCUACCCCAGGCAUGGUUUCCUCCAAUUGAUCCUCCAAACCAGCAUAUCCUUUUCGAGACAAUCGAUGAUUGUACUCAAGUUUCUCCCUAAUCUGUGCAUGUUGAGAAUGCACAGACUCAAAAUCUUUGGAUAACCUUAAAGCUACAAAGGCAUCCCAUUGUGUUUUCUCUAUGAAUUUAUAUGUUUCAGGGGGUUGGCUUAAUCUCUCUCUGUCAUUGGUGUAUGGAAGGAUAUAAUGCCUCGUUAGUGUAGACUUGAAAUCCUUCCAUUUCUUGGCAGCAGAAGCUAACACAGAGUUCUUGCCCCCUUGACCUACCACAAAAGCAAUGUCAACUGCUUCCCAAAUCUGCUCCUUUAUAUCCUUGGGGAUUUGAGCCCAUUUCAUGUCCACAAGUGGAACUCUGGAGCGUGCCAACACACCAAUGUAGGACUGCAUCUCACUAUGUGCUUGGCCAAUUCCUUUCCCCCUUUUAUUGUACUCAACAAUUGACCUGAGUUUCUGAAGUUUUCUCUUCACAACACGAGGCAUUGUGCUUAUACCUCGACCAGACUUUGAAUCAUCAGAGAUUGUUGUCGUGCUGGUUGGUUCUGUCUCAGCAGAUGAUGAGGCAAACUUCAUCUUCUUCGAAGACUUCAUCUUCUUCGAAGACUUCUCUUGAGGAGUUACCAUUCCAAGCUCCUUACCUCCAUUUUUCUUGGAGCCAGAGUCCUUACUUUGGUCUUGAGAAACCAUUUUUACAGACAAAACUGCAAGUGAAAAUAUUUCAGGAAAAGAUUAAGAACACAAACGACGGUUAUUAAUAAAAUACGACGUAUGAUAUGAUUUUAAACGACGCAAUGAAAUAAUCUCAGACGUAAUAAAUGUUUACAACCAAGGUAAUUAAACAACGACGAAAUAAUAUAAAAUAAGACGUAAUAAUAACUUAUUACGUCUAUAUUUACCGGACGACGUGAUAAUUAACUAUAAAUGACGAAAUAUUUAUAUAACAUCGUGGUAUUGAUGUUCACACGACGUCAAUAGUAAUAUACCGUCGUCUAUAUAAGGAUCCAAAACCCUUCUUUCUUUCUCUGUGAAUGUUUGAUUGCAGAUUUGAUUUUUCUGAACCAUGGUUUUUGUUUUCUAAUUUGAUAAAAUACAAGGCCAAGAAAGAAAGUUUUGGAAUCUUAUAUAGACGACGGUAUUUUAAUAUGACGUCGUGGUAUUAACAUUCACACGACGUAAAACAAUAAGAUACUGUCGUCUAUAUUAGAUACCAACCCUACUUUCUUUUUCUUUAUAUUUUAUCAAAUUAGGGAAAAACAAAAACCAUUGUUCAGAGAAAUCAAACCUGCAAUUAAACAAGCAAAUAAAAAAAAGACUAUAAUUUUAAAAACAAUUUUGUCAAUUUUCAGACGACGCUAGAACGACUGACGAACCGUCGUGGUCUACAUAUUUAACCACGUAAAUAAGAAGCUACCGUCGUCUUAUUUAGUUGAGGUAGUUGUCUUCAAAGUUGGAAACUUUCCCUCUUUGUCUGUAUAUUUUAUCAAACUUGGAAAGAAGUAAAAUGAUUUUGGCCAGAAAAAAGGUAAAAAGAUUUUUCAAACAAAAAACGUAUGAGCAUGCAAAACAGCAACCAAAAUAGUGAAAAUGAAAGCUUACCUUUUGCGUGCAAUGAAAGCAAGAGGAAGACGAUGUUUAAGUUCAGAGACGACGAAGAAGACGAGAGGAAGACGAUGAGAUACUAUGACAGUGCUCUGAUAAGGAAAAAAGACAAAAAGUUUUCUUUGGGAGAUUGAAAUUUUUAAUCGGGUUUGGAAACAGUGCAUGUGUAAGUCAGGUAGACGAAAAGUUGCUUACAUAUAAAACCAUUUCAAAAAAAUAAUACGGCGGUUACGUAUAACUACGACGUAUAAAUUACAAAAUACGACGGUACAUUUAACUUCGGACGUGGUAAAUAAAUACGACAAUAGUGUUGUAGGUACCGUCGUAGUAAACUCAAAAAUUAAAGUACAUAAGUAAUAACUUGCGUCAUGGUAGAUUAUUUAACACGUCGUUUUUAUUAAUGUACCGACGUGGAUUUAUGUAAUAUAUGUCGGUCAUACCGACGUUGAUUUUACAAUUUAAACGGCGGUUUUUUUGUAAGGACCGCCGUUGGUUUUAAAAAUUUAUUCUAUAAAUUUGUCACUUUCAUUCAUUUUCGGUUUACAUUUAGGGUUCCAAGUUCUUCCUCUCUCAGAGACACUGUCUCUCACAUCUCAAAGACAAUAAUUUGGAUGUCUUUCUCAAAGAGAAAUUGAGCUUACUCGCAUCAAAUCUAUGUCCACAAGAAGAAGCUUGUCAACUAGCCUUCUCACUUCCUUGAUCAAGCCUGAUAGGACACUUAGUGCUUCUGAAUACUCCUUGCUUUCCAUCAAAAGAGAUGCAAGCCUGGCCUCCACUCGCUGUCGAAGGAAAGUUCGCUUCUCAGGGAAAUCUGAAGAUCAGAUGUGCCUGAUCCUCUGCUUGAUUUUCUUGGCUAAGAAGAUCCUUCAGAUUUGUGAUAGCCUCUUCCUUUAUCCGUAGAGCUUCAGAAGAAGAAGAUGAGUUUCAAGAAUGCGAUAAAGAAUAGAAAUGGCUUCAGAUGGCCUCUAAAGCAUGAGCAAUCGAAUCAGUAGUUGCUGGGAGAUAUGAUGAAGACAUUGUCAAUGCUUUGAACUAUACAAGUCCUGCAGAAAGAUAAAGGACCAAACUGUUAAAGAAACUGAAACAACGGCGGUUUUCUGUUCUACCGUCGUCUUUUCUCGUCGUCUAUAUUAAGGUAAGAUGGCGGUAGAUUUAUAAUUACUGACGUAGAUUAUUUUGUUAAACGUCGUUAAGUGUAAUACAACCGACGUGGAUUUUAUUUUUAAAUUAUAAAUAGAGUUUUUUUUCCCGAAUUCUUUCAGUUUUAGUUUUCAAUUACAAAGCGUGAUAAAUAGAUUUUUCUUUCCCGAGGAAAUUUAAAAUGAGGGAAAUUAAUAUUCUAGAAUUUGUAAACUAACACGACGCAAUAUUACUAACCCGAGGAAAUUAUAAAUAGAUUUUCCUUUCCCGAAGAAAUUUUAAAUUAAUUCAGUUUGAAACAACGACGGUUUUUUGUUAUGCCGUCGUUUUUAACUAACACGACGCAAUAUUUGUUUUGCGACGUGGAAUCUUUUCAUUUAACGUCGUUAGGUUUAAUAUAACCGACGUGGAUUUGAAUUUUUAAAUUAUGAAUAGAAUUUUUUUUCCCGUGAUCUUUCAAUUUAUUUUUCAAUUACAGUGCGUUAUAAAUAGAGUUUUUUUUCCGGAGGAAAUUUAAAAUGAAGGAAAUUAAUGUUCUGGAAUAUGUAAAGUUUCUUUUUUGGAUGACAGAUUUAAAUAAAAUAAGAAUAUAAAAACAACGACUGUUUUUGUAUUACUGUCGUCGUUUUUCGUCGUCUUAAGUAAGACUAAGACGACGUAAUAUAUUUGUUGAGCGACGUUGAUUUGUUUUUUAAACGUCGUUAGGUAUAAUAUAACCGUCGUUGAAAAUUGUCUCUCUGAUUGUAAAUUUACAACGACGUUAGGUAUAAUAUUUGUAGAUACACAAACGCACACACAUCAUCAACUUCCAAAAAAUUGUCUCUCUGAUUGCAAAUCUGUGUCAUCUGUUAAGAUUAUGAUGUGGAACAGAGUUCCAUCUGGUAAGAUUUCGUAACCCUUGGGAUCUCAGAAAAAUCUGAUUAUGUCGGCGGUUUUCUAUAUAAACUGUCGUGGUUAUUUCAAUUCUUGUCAUUAAGUAGAUCUACCGACGUAGGAUAAGAAAAUCAAAGAAAAAAAUUGUUAACAAAAAUUCUUAUUAAGACGACAGUUUAAAUUAAAGGUACGACGUAUAAAAUGAAUAAAUACGACAUUAAAUUUUAUAGUACGAUUUAGAGAUAACGUCGUAGAACUAUACGAGAAUGACGUCGAUAUAUUUAUAUUUUCCGUCGUUGUACAUUAAUUUAAUACGGCGAUAUUUUGUAUUUUAAAGUCGUGGAUUUGUUUGUAAUUAUACGGCGUCUUAUACGAAAACCUCGUCGUGUUAUUUUAUGAGUAAAAACGGCGGCUUUUAUUGAAAUCGUCGUCUUUACUUUCUACGUCGGUUGAUUCAUAACUUCUGCCGUUCUUUGUUGGCUUUGAUUUUACAUUGCGAAAAUCUGUUUCAAAUAGACGUCGGUUGUUUAAUUAGGUACGUCGUUGUUUUUGAACAGCCAUUUGAAUCUCCAUUUUUUAGUUGUCUAAGGUGGUAUUACACGACGGUGUUUUUAGAACCGUCGUCUUUUUAAAAACCACGACGGUUUUCACUUAGACCGUCGUUGUUUUCUGGUCGUCUUUUUCACUUUUUGUAAUAGUGUUGGCUAAUAUAGAUAGGAAAUCAAUGAAAAAACAAGUUAACAAGAUAAUUUUGAACGGAGAUACUCUGAAAUUAUUUGUCUCUCACAUAGUCAUACUCAUACGUGAAGACUUAAGAAGGCUUUUCUAGCCCACCUAGUUUGACAAAAGAACAAAAAAUAAUAAUAAUGAUGAAAGGCUUUCAGGACAUCUUUUUGGUCUUGAUAACAAGUGCAAAUGGAAAUAGGUAACCCAAUGUAUGAAAAGAGAAGAAAGAAACCAUUGACUGAUGCCCAUUUUCUUACCUGUUGUGUCCUUUCAUGGUCUAAGUGUUCCCACGUACCUCUCCAUUUUCUUUCUUAAACCUUGUCCACUUAUCUCACUGGGUUUGCUAUUAGAGCUCAUUGACAGAGGAGAGAGUCCUGUUCUUCACAGAAUUGAAGCAAAUCAUUGCAUUUCUUUUAUGAGCUUUCCUAUCCCAUCAGAUCAGACCUAUCCAAGACUUGGUAUGUUUUUCUUCAUCGGUUUAGAUUCAUGGUCCAAGAAUUUUACUCUGUAAUUGAUAAAGCAUGCAAUUCAAGUUAAGUUAGGAUUUGCAUAAAAUAAAACUGCUCCAUUUUGCACGUGUUGAUUGCUUAUAUAUGCACCAUUUUCAUAUUUUGUUUUGAUCUUAAAACAUAUGCAUGUAUGUGAGAGGAAUACUUUGGAAAUUCUGUCAGUUAGGGUUGCGUAAGAGGUGAAUCCAUAUGGACUCAGCUCCAACAGCUCUCUUGGUUGGCAAAAUUAUGGACAUUCUCGAGAACGAAGCAUACUCCAUAGCCGCUAUCCGUGAUGAAGUUGAUGAGAUUAAGCAGGAGCUGGUAAGCAUGACAUCCUUCCUAGAGGAUGUUGAGGGCCAGAAAACACAGACAGAAACACAGAAAGCUUGGGUCACAAGUGUCAGAGACUUAACCAGUGAUGUUGAAGAUAUCAUCGAUGAAUUCAUGUAUCAUACGUAUGAGCAGCAAAGUAGGGGACGAUUUGCAAGGUGGCUCCACAGGACCAUCCAUAUUCCAAAGAAUCUCUUCUAUCGGCGUAAAAUUGCCAACAAGUUACACAAAAUCACUAAAAUGAUCAAGGCCAUUCCAGAGAGAAAUAAGAGAUAUGCUCUUGAUGAUGUAGUAGGAACAAGUUGGGAUGAUAUUAGCAAAUGGGUCAAGAACCAAGCAGUGUCUUCUCUCUUUAUUAACGAAGAUGAACUCGUCGGGAUUGAUGGAAAGAAGCAAACAUUAACUGCAUGGCUGCUCCAUGAAGAGCAACACCUAACUGUUGUCUCCGUGGUCGGGAUGGGAGGAUCCGGGAAAACAACUCUAGUUGCCAAGACCUUCACCAACGAAACUAUAAACAGACAUUUUGAUUCUUAUGCUUGGAUCACUGUCUCCCAAACUUAUGUGAUUGAAGACUUGUUUCGGAGCUUGAUCAAAGAACUCCACCGAACAAGGAAAGAAGAUGUCCCUGCAGACCUGAUAUCCAUGAGCUACAGAGACUUGCUACAACUUCUGGUGAACUACCUGGAGUCUAAAAGGUACCUAGUAGUACUGGAUGACGUGUGGGAUAUCAAACUUUGGAGAGAAAUAAGGAUAGCACUUCCAGAUAGACAGCUUGGAAGUCGAAUCAUGCUUACAACUCGAAAAGAAGACAUAGCAUCCCAUUGUUUUGGAGUUGAAAGCCAUGUUCACUGUAUGCAACCGCUGGAAAAGAAUGAUGCUUGGGAGCUUUUCAGCAGGAAAUCAUUCUCUACCUUUGAUGGUAAAUGUUGUCCACCAGAGCUUGAAAAAUUAGCUUGGGAACUCAUGGAAAAGUGUAAAGGCCUACCUCUAGCUAUCAUAGCUUUAGGUGGUCUUAUGUCUUCCAAGAAAUCAGCUGCGGAGUGGAGUAAAGUCUACAAUGGCUUAAACUGGCAUCUAACAAGCCAUCAUUUGUUAGAGCCUGUGAAGAGCAUCUUGUUACUUAGUUUCAAUGAUUUGCCAUAUCGCUUGAAGCAUUGUUUUCUAUAUUGUUCCCUUUUUCCAGAAGAUUAUUUGAUUCGAAGGAAAAGGCUCAUUAGGUUAUGGAUAGCUGAAGGAUUUGUUGAACAUGCUAGAGGGGUCACACCUGAACAAGUUGCAGAGAGCUAUCUUAUGGAACUCAUUUUUCGUAACAUGCUACAAGUUGUAGAGAGGAAUGAAACCGGUAGGCCAAAAUCAUGUAAGAUGCAUGACCUUAUGCGAGAGCUUGCUCUGUCAACAUCUGAGAAAGAAAAAUUUUCUGUUGUAUAUGAUGGGAAAGAAGUACUGGAAGACAUUGGAGCCCACCGUUUGUCAAUCCAAACAACCCAAGGAGGAAUCAAAUCUUGCAUUGGUAUGUCACGCCCUCGUUCUUGUCUUGUAUUCGUUACUGGCAUAUUCUCAUUUUCUUUCUCAAAGUCAUUGCCUUCUGGAUUCAAAUUGUUGAGGGUUUUUGAUUUGGAGGAUGUCCAAAUUGAUAAGCUGCCACAUAAUUUAGUGUACUUAUUCAACUUAAGAUACUUAAGUUUGAAGGGAACUCAAAUUAAGGAGCUUCCAAAAGCCAUAGGACUGCUCCGCAACCUUCUGACAUUGAACAUCCUCAAUACUAAGAUCGAGGUACUUCCCAGAGGAAUUUCCAAGUUGCUAAACCUGCGCCUUCUAAUUAUGCACCGUCGUACUGGAGAGUAUAUGGCCUUCAAAACUGCCCAUGGGACAAGAGUGCCAUUUAAUAUUAGUAAGCUGAAGAAAUUGGAAGUUUUGUCAUGUGUUGAAUCAGAAGGAAACAUUAUAAGGCUCAUUGGGAAUAUGACUCAACUUACAAGGAUUGGCAUUACGAAUGUAAAAGAGAGAGACGCAAUGGACCUAUGUGAUUCAAUUCAAAAGUUGAAGCUACUUCAGUGCUUGGCUUUAAGGGUAAGUGGUGAGGAGGAGUUUCUUGACGUCAAUGCAUUAUCUUCACCUCCUCCACACCUUCGAAAACUUAUUUUUGGCAGCAAGCUGCAAAAGGUACCACCUUGGUUCUCUUCGCUCCAGAACCUUACAUAUCUGUAUCUUCAUUGGACGAGACUUGACGAGGAUUUACUACCUCAUAUUGAAGCAUUGCCAUGUCUGGGAAGGCUUUUACUUGUCAAUGCCUAUGUUGGUAAUGAGUUGUGUUUCAACAGAGGCUUUCCAAAGCUUACUAUUCUGGAGUUGUUUAAUUUCCCCUUAUUGAAUAAGAUAACUAUAGCAGAAGGGGUGAUGAGGAAUCUCCGGUUAUUAACACUUGCUAGAUGUAUGGAGUUAAAGGCAUUGCCACAGGGUUUUGAAUACCUUAGUAAGCUAGAAACACUUGAAUUGUUGUCUGUUUCAAUGCAACUUAUAGAGUCCAUACAAGAAGGAGGGGUGGAUCAUCCAACGGUAAAACACAUCACCGUCAUUACAAAUUAUUCUUUGAAAUGCUUGAUAAGAGCUCAUCAUAGUUCAUCCACAUGAAGGUACGUUAAUUUUUUCCUUGCUAGAAGGUAUGUAAUUUGAACUGUUCUAAUAGAAAUUGUUCCAAAUUAUUCCAAAUUAACAUUUUGGUAAAGCCAUAUAAUUUGUUCAUGGACCAAAUACUAAAUCCUUAAUAGUUAGUUUCUUUAGCAUAAUAUAAGCAUUGAAAUUUCAUCCGAUUUCCAUCCUGGUUUCAUAAUGCUCUUUUUUUCUGCAGAAUCUAGGCUGAGAGGUGAAGAUUCAAUCCUGUUUGCGCCAGGAAGAACCCUUUCUGUUGUGAAGCUGCAAACACUAAAUCUUAUUUUCUUUUGUUAAUGCUUGAAUCAAGUAAUACCAAGACUCUCUGCUCAUAGAUUGCAUUUUCAGUACUGUCUGUUUGUAUGUCUUGUAAUAUUGUUGGAGAUUGACUCACUUUAGUAGCAAUUGAUAACAGAUUUGAGCCAUGCAUUCUUUUUUGUUUCUUUUGUGUUUCAAUUGGUGAAAGAUAUGCUACUACUUCUGCUCAGGCCUGCAUAAUUUUUUCACAACACUAGCCUAGAAAUUCGUUUCUAGCUUUGAAGCUGUAAAUAUUUAGCCACCCCAUCCCCAGAAAUUUCAAUUCAUUUACUGUUAUUUUUAAUUUGGCACCUCAAAACCAACCAAGUAAAGAAUUCAUAUGUGUUAGUUUUAUUCCCAAGUUGAGUAACUGAAAUUUAUAUAUACAAGAAAAUGUUUAACUCAUAAAGAUGUUUUUACCAAGAAAUUGAAGGAAGCAAUAUGUUAGUUUGAGUAAGUCAUUUUGAGAGGAAAUUAGAUACAGAUUACACAAGUCGUAACGAGGAAGAAGUACAAAGAUGAACAUUAUUUAAGAGAGAUACAUAGGCAUUAUCCUACUGUCCCGAAAUUAUGAUUGCUAAUUCAUCCUGUCCAAAAAUUAAUCUACUCUGUGAUCUUUACAACAUACUGUACUGCAGACUAAGUCAAAAGAAAUCUACAAAAAUAUAAUUUUGUUCAUAAGCACCUCAUCAGACCAGCAUAUCUCAAUUUGAUAACUGAUUUCAAAGCGGCGUAUGGUUCCCUCUGAUUGGUGCAGCAUUGCGGAUUGCGUUUCUGGCAGUUACCUAGAGAUAGAAUUGAAACUAAAGUUCUUCAUAGCACUGUGGCUAGACUUUUCCAUCUGAUGAGGGGAGUUUUCUAUGAGCUUCCAAGGCCUUGGAGGAAGAUUUAGUGGCCGAAUUCGUGCCUUUGGAGGGAGAUGAGGAAGGAGUUGGUAGCUUCUUGGGCAGCAUCUGUUGCCAACAGUCCUUAGGCAACCUUGAUGCUUCUGAGAGAACAAUGAAAGCAACAAGAGUGAAGAGCAAGCACUUGUGCCUCCAAGAACCUGACAUGUUGAAUAAUACACUGGGAAUUGACAGGCACUGUGCUACUUUAACAUCCUAAGAUGGCAGCUUUAGAGCAUUGGUGGCAGCAGACAGGUUGAGUAAUGUAUGGAGACUGCCAACUUGAUUGUUUGAGGAAAGUAUGCCAAUGGCAGACAAUAGGGUAUUUGAUAAUUCUAAACCUCUUUAAGCAGCUCAUGUUGUUGCUCCCAUUGUGUACUAGAAGCAGAAUCUCUUUGAGUGAGAAAGUGAGGAAUUUGAGGGUUCUUAAAAAAAAAACAUUCUUAUUGGACCCCUCAUUUUGGUUGGAUAUAAAAUUAAUUCUUCUAUGUCUGGUAACAAAUCCUUAUUGUCAGAGUUGUUCAAAGUGGUAUAAUUGGUAAUGUCACUUGGACAAUUUGUGACCUAACCAGAACAAGAUCUUCACCCAACUUACUUUGCUGAAUUUAUGUGGAUGCAUACAUUGUCAUGAUGUAUGAUGCAUUACGCAUUGGUUUGGGUACAUAAAUCCGGUUUAUCUUACUGAUAAUUUCUUUGUUAAUUUUAAACAAAUUAAAUUCAUUAAUUUCUUUGUUGUCAAGCAAGCAAUGACAGUUAGACCUUCAUCAAACUAAUUAAACUCAAUGAGGUAUGCAUCAUUCAUGGAAAUAUAGGUAAUUUAUUGAAGCCAUUUAAGCCUAUGGUUGAGAACCCCAACCUACAAUUAUAGCAUUAUUGUUCAUACUAAAUUUCAAUCAUGCAAACAUGAGGGAGAGAGUUUCCUUUUCAUUUUCUCAGAUUACUCACAGCCAAACAAACAAGCCUAGCUAAUAUAAAGUUGAUGAGUAAAUUUUUUAAAGAGUUCAAAAGAAGCAUCUUGAUACUUUUGUAUGCUAUUUUGCCAACAAAGAAAUUAGUUUUACAACAAAAAGGUAAUGGCUAUCAAUGGUGUAGUGAGAUAUUAGUAUAUUUUUAUGAAAAGGGUUGUGAUUAGAGCAGCACAAUUUCCUAGUUAAUGGUGCACCUUAGUUGAAAAGUGAAGUUCAGUCAGACAAGCAAGCAACGGAAAACAUUAAUCAAACCACUCAUACUUAAGUCAAAAGGUAUAGUCCAGGCUUCCUCUAAAAUUUAAUAUUUGAAGGGCUUGUAAUUCAAGUGUUUAAAAGCAUUUAUUUGUACAUCUUAGGUUUUAGGGUCGAUUUCUCCUCUCUUAUUAUCGCUUUGUAUUAAAAAUAAAAAAAAUUAAUUGAAAUCAAUCACUAUUUAAAACAAGAACUUCUAAGGCUGCUCACACUUCCAAUUUGUCAUUAUAAAAUUUAUAUAUAUAUUUUUUUAAAAGUAUGAAUCACUUGCAAAAUGAGCGUAGAAUGACAACUGAGAGUAUGAAUUACGAUUUUUUUUUUCUUUUUAAAAUGCUAAGAAAUUUGUAGGCAGUCAGUCAUAUAGGUUGAUGCCAUUGCAGAGAAGCAGUCCCUAUAUAAAAUAAAUUUGCAGCGCAUGUGUGUGUGAGAAUUAUAAAAUCGUAAAAGUUAGAAGAAUGUCGGGUGAAAGAUAAUGUUUUAAUCUAUGCAUGCAGGCUCAUUCGAGACAAGAGGAGUUGGAAGGAGAUGGACACUGUACUCUAUCUCAAAGUGGUAGGGUCCAUUCUCACUCAAACUACUGCACAUGUCUUACUGUUCACUAAUUUAAUUUGGUAUAACUAACUAAUUUCCAAAUCAUUUUUUUCCUCCGCCCUGAUUUUUGUUGGAUAUUUGUCUGUGGGUUAUAGCUACUUAUCUGCUCUCAGAACCGGUGUGCAAAAGGAGAAAUAUUUGCAUGAAACGGGAAUGUUAUUUUUAGCUAAUAAUAUUGUGAAAUUCAUGAUAAUUUUUUUACAUGACAUAUCAUUAUUAAUUGAGACAGCAAAAUAGUGUUAUUCUCGUUGCAAUCAAGUUUUUUCUCCUACAAAAAAGAAACGCAAAUAAGAAAAUAAGUAAUGCAGAUACAAAGAAGUCCAAUAUAACACUAUAUGUUCAUAAUGCUUUGCACGACCAAAGACAAACUCAAACACACCUGGAUAUAAAUUAGGUUUUUUUGUUGCCAUAACUCCGAACCUAUACGAAGGUCGUGGAAAAUGCCAACACAAUUUCAUAACACCACCUACUAAUUAACCUCUCCCAACAUGGAGAUGCACUUUUGGUAGUAGAGUAAGAAAAGAGCAGUAACAUACCAAAAGACUACAAUAAAAUGCGUUUGAGUGGUUGACUGCCAUUUAUACUCAGAACAUUAAGAUACAAAAUUUCUAAGCCCAAUCCCUCCAUUGAAAGGGCAUAAGUUCCCUUAGCAACUAGAAAAUGAGACGAGAACUUUAUCGGGCGUCUGAAAGAAUAAUCAAUUAUGCGAACUUUACAUAUUAACGUAUUACUUCAGUGUAUAGUCCUUAUAAUUUAGUGCCUAAGCGAACAAAAGAAUACUGGAACAGACUAUACUUCCAGCAUUGACUAAGCCUUUACCCAGUCAAAGACACAGAUCGAAGCAUUUAGGCAAUUGCUGACAAAAUUGUUUCUUUCUCUGCAGGACGCCAAAAUGUCUUCUGAAUGCAUAGCAAACCCUCAUUGUCUUUCGAAUACGUAAAUCGGAUGUCCCACUGCAGAGAUUUAGCCAUGCUCUCAACCUCGUUUAAGGUUUCAGCAUUGUCCCAUAUGAUUAGCUUCCCUUCUGGCCUAAGUAUCCUAUCAACUUCGGCAAUCACUGCCACUAAGUUGCAUCUGUAGCCAGAAUACCAUAAACGCAUUGUAUCAGACGACAUGUUUGGAGUUCUUUGUUGUGAUUAAAACAGCAGUAAAUAUGUUUUAUAAAUAAUCAUAGGAAAAUGCUUCAUUACAUACCUUUUUUUCAGGACGGAGAAUAGAUGAUCUGCAUGUAGAAGAUCAUAAGUUCUGGGGUAGGUACUGAACGACUCACACCAAUCAUGAUAUAUCCCAGUUAAACCACGCUCAAAAAUUAUCGGGAGUGUGUCACGGGAGUCAACUGGGACUACAUUCAUAACCCAUACUUUCAAGUCUUUUAGUGCUGCAGCAAACCUAAAAGCAUUGCCAAAAAAAGUCAGACUACGUGAAAGAUUUCAAAAUUCUUUACUACACUGGAAAAAAGAAACAUUUGCACAAGAGAAAUAAGAAUAACAAAACGAAGCUGAAAAGGGGAUCAUUAUUUUCUGGAAAGAAUAUGACAUGCAAUUCGUACUGAUUUGCCAUCAAUAUUUUUCACCUUCAACCCCUAAGACGUUCAAAAUAUAAAGUAUUACCAAUACUAAACUCAACCUUUUGUAAUUGGCAGUAGUCAUUAGGUAUAUAUGGAAACAAAAAUUUCAAUCAAAGCAACAGAAAAGAAGAGGGGGUGUGGAAUAGCAGAAAGAGGGUGACCUGGGUGAUUUAAGGUAGUGAUGGGAAAAAGAAAUUAAAAGAUUAAAAAUUGCUUACCCUCCGUAUACAGCUCUCAUGUCCAUGACAUUCCUAACAGAAGACCAGUUGAUUCCCAUCCCAUUCAAAUAUGUCUCGGAAACAACUUUUUUCCAAUGCUUGUAGUCAGAAAUGAAAUCCUCUGGGGCAGAUUUUCCAUCAACAUCAAGCUGAGACUUUAACCAGUAUGGUGGUUUUUCCAACCUUAAUGGCCAUUUUGGAGGCCACUGAGACCCACGGUUUAAGACAUCAUCCGGCACUUUGUGCAUGCAUGCCUCUAGUGAAACAUUCCUGAUGAUGCAGAAAUAAAAUGGAACACUUAACAGUGUUGGAAAUUUAACUCAUGGAGAAUACUAUAAAGGAACUUUUAACUACAUAUAGGUAUUCAAAGAUGUGAAGUAUUUUCUGAGCCACAUUUGACAAUGUUUAGCAGGCCAACUUAGAAUAAAGGCGGACUUGAAAACUAUAGUGGCAUCAAUUUCUAUUUAUUUCUGUUCAUAUGAAAACUUAUGACCUAGAUUUUAUUUAACAACUCAGAAAUUAUGAAAAGGGAAGAUGCUAUCAAUCAAAGCUCUUUCAGUUCAACAUGUUAGUCACUCUCACAAGGGCAAGUACAACUUAAAGAUUUGGAAUGAUAUUUAUGCAUCUCAAGUUCACGACAUUGGAGAAUUUUCUGCACUACAAAAUCCUUUUGUUUUUCAGACUGCAAAAUCCUUCACAUUGCUAAUGAAUUUUCAAGGGAUACACAAAACCCAAAACGUAAAACUUCAUAAAAAUUCAGGUUUGAAAACAAAAACUUAUUGCCGGAAAGACAUUCCAAAUAUGGUCCUAGUAAGCGACAUAUGAGUCACAAUUGCUUAGCUUAGAGCAAAUUGGUUAUAUACGUAUAACAAGACUAACAUAUAACCUGAUGCCUAAAAGAAAUUUAAAAUCUUCAAUGCACAUUAGCCAUAAAGGAAACUGAUUCAUGUGAAUAACCUGAUAUGCCACACAUUACUUAAAAAAGUUAGUACAUUAUUAAAUUAUAUUUAUAGCACCAUUUAAGAAAUAAAUAUUGAUACCUAUAAGUAGUCGUCAUCAUAGCGAAUUUAUAUUAGUUACCAAACAUUACUAUACAGACAACAGAAGAAAAAGAAAAAUAUCAGCAUUCUUCUAAAAUCUGACAUGGCAAAUGUUAUUGAGAUCCAAAAUCAUUUUAUUUUACCAAUGCCUCAUAUCGAGUAGCAAACGUACACAUUAAGUAAUCUAGUAUUUAUUUUUGGCACUAUACGAAUUAUCAUUGUAUUAAAAAUGUCCAUACAAAAACUUUUUCUGAAUAUUUUUUAUCUUUCUUUGAUGUCACUUCCAAUUUCCAUACUAGCGGCCACCAAUAACAAACACAGAGAAACGCCAAUACUACAAUAUUUGGACAAAAAGGUAAAGUACCAGCUAGUAUUUGGAUCAUCAGAUUCACUGCAUAGAGGAGGGUCAUUGCGUGCUCUUUCAUUGUAGCACUCAUUGGUAGAAGGUUUUCUAUAUAUGGCAGCAGCCACUCCAUUAAGUCUGUCCUUUUUAAUCACCAACAGAUCCCAGCACAUUGACUUUGUUAAUUUAGACAUCGCUGCCAAUAAUUACCAUGAGAGUGAGAAUAUGUUAGAUAUGAUCAACCAAAACAUACAACUCGCUUCAGAGGGAAGGGAAAAAGGAAAAAAGAAAAAGGAAGUAUUCUACCUUUCCAAAUGCCAACAUCUUCAGGAAGCUUUUGGUAAACAGGAGUAGCAGACCAGACAAAGUAACCACCAGGUCGCAAGACACGAUUAAGCUCCAGGAGAAGUUUACCACCUGCAAUGUAACUCGAAUUAUAUCUCCAGAACAAUGCGGACUAAGAAAAUAAAUAAAUAAAUUGCAAACAUUACCUUCAAUAUGCCAAGGGACUCUACAGCGUGCACAGUGGACAAGAUCAUACACAGAACUUGGAAAGGGUAGUCUUUUGGUACCCAUAACAGCUGAUAUGGCAGGGAUUCCCCGUUCUAGUGCAAAUUGUACUUGGGCUUCGUGCUCAUCCUUGGGGGCAAAUGACAUAGCAAGAACAUCUCUAUCAAAUAGAAAACCUCCGAAGCUGGCUACACCACACCCAACAUCUAAUAUCACACGGCUUCUUUUACCCCAUGCAAUAUCAGGAAGAGACUGCAUAGCAAAAAUGAAAUAUACAUUUUUAGCAUCGGAAAAAAAAAAAAAAAAAAAAUUCACCAAAAAAUAAUGCUUUUUUUAAUAAUUAGACUGAAACUCCGGACCAGUAAGAUAACAAUGCUAAAUACUAGAGUUUUCUUACAAAAGGAACCACAAAAGAAAAUAAACAUAUAAGAUCAAGUGAGGCACAAUUGAAUAUUUUUAGACAAAUAUAAUCAAGGUCAUACAAAUAUAUUGCUUCCUAAAGAACAGGACUUCACAUGAAGCAUGGCAAAAUGAAUACAAUGAAAUGGACAAGUUGCACGAAUGAAGAGAUGAAAUCAGAUGGAACUGCAUCCCAUAAUUCAAACCCACUAUUUGGUAAUUGUAUAAGAAAAUAUAAUUUCAAAAUUGUAUAAAGGACUAGAGCACACCCACACAAAAUCACAUAGACACAAUCCCAGUCCUGCAUACAGGAAAAAAAAAAAAAAGGGAUAAAAUAGUUCACAUUCAGCAAAAAGCCAUUAACCAAACCCUCAAAACUGUCCCUAUGCCUACAAUACAAACAUUAAUAGGAACAAGUUUGAAUGAACACAGGUGCAUCCUGAAUCACUGAUCAAUUGGUAUGACACAUUAUGUGUCAUGCACAAUGUAAUAUCCUUAUCGCCCUACCGCAAUAUAACUAUUACUUGGUGCUGUAAGUGGAAUCAGAAAUGAUAUUCCCUUCCCAUAAAAUUUCUGAAAAUAUAUUUCGGCAAACCAAUGUAUGACAGGAUCUGGAAAAUAAGAUGAUAUAACAAUAGGACUUACUUUUUGGAUAAAAUCAAUGUAAUGAAGAGCACCAUUCUUAAACUGAGUUCCACCACCAGGAAAUGUGAGAUAUUCACCGGUAACUUUAACCCAAUUUUGGUGCCCUUUAACUACUGCGAGCUUGGUGUGAGGAACAUUGUGGUACCAUAUCUGCAUCAUGCACCAAGAACAUAUUUCAAUUGCAAGGAUUAAAAAGAGGUAAUUGUUAUUAUUUUCCUAGACAGCUGAUAUACCUUUUCCCUGCUUGUAGGCCACUGAAUGGACCGUUUAUAUCCUUCUGGAAGAGGAACAAGACAGGUCGGGGCUUCAUCAGGGCAGUGCCUCUCUCGAUGUUCAUAGUGCAUUGUACUUGGAAGCUUCCUGAUAGAACCCCAAUUGUCAAGACAAGGGAUGUAGUCUGGCCCAGCAGUGACAUCACAGAGUUUCCACUUCCACUCAUGCCCACUCUUAUGUUCAGAUAAGGAAGAUUGUUGUGUUUCUUUCUCAUUCUGCGACUCCACAACUUCAGUUGACCCUUGCUCAUUUUCAGCUGUAGUUUCCUGGCUUUCUAUGUUAUUACUAUCACUUUCUUCUGAAUGAAUGUCUUGAUAUUUCUCAACAUUUUCCUUCUCAGUCUGAAUAGUCACUUCAUCUUCCUGCUUUAUUCCAUCAGAAGUCUCGUCUCCCUCCAAUUUUUUCUCCCCUUCUUGGAAGUCAGAUGUAUUUCCAGCUUCUGAAUUGGACUCCCCAUCUCCUGAACUAGCUUCAUGAUCAUUUGUUUUCCCAUCCCCAUCAUUUUCAGCCUCUGUCUUUGUUUGCUCUUCAGUCUCAAGUUUCUCAUCAGAUUUCUCCUCUACAAGCUUCUCUUGCUGAUUUCCCUCAACACCAUUCUCACUUUCUGGCUCAGUCUUCACUUCAGAUUCCUCCUUUGAAACCAAUUCUUCCUGUUUUUCUUCAGUUGUAUUUACAGAAACAUCCUCUGCAACAUUCUGAGCAUUCUUAAUAUCCAAAUGGCUUUCACUCUGUAAAUCAUUGCCAUUGUCAUCCCUUUUUAUUACAGUUUCUGGUAAUUCACCUGAACUGUCUUCGAAUUGCUUGGAAUCUUUAUCAGUUGUCGUUUGCCAUUUUACCUCAUUUACGGUCUCCUCAGAUGAUGAGUCUUGAUUCUGAAUUGGAACAACCGUUGACAUUAACAUCCAGACCCCAACUAAGCAAAAUGCAACAAAUACAACUAGACUGGUCGUCGAACAACAAUUCAGUGACCUCCUUCCAUCAACUCGAGAAUACUUCCCCACAGCCAUCUUUAUGAGGUGAAAAUUGAUAUCCCAAAUAAUAAACACACCUGACAAGGGCAAUAACAAAACAAACUCAGCUAUCCAUGAUGUUUGUAUCUUCAAGCUUGUUUUCUGGAAAUUGUUAAGGAAAAAGUGUUUGAACCCUCAUGUGGCAACAUAAUUUUACACUUAUUUUUAUCUUAAUGAUUUUAAUCACAAACGCAAAAAGAGUAAUAUAAAAAAACUGUUUUUGAAUGAAUAAAGGAACCGACAGGCCUUGCACUGCUAAAAGAAUAUAUAUGAGAAAGGGCAUCCUUGCUAAUUUUGAUAUACAAGAGUAAGAGUGGUAGUGUGUAUCAUGUCAAAUUACGGCUCUGAUAGUUUUUCUGUGGCCAUAACGAAGGUGAUACCUUUUCCUCAAGUAGAUUGACAAGUAAUAGCAAAUUGGAUCAUAGAAUAGGGUAAAGAGAGCUCAACUUUGUUCCAAAGAAAGCAGAUAGAUCAAUUAACAAAGAACAAAUAAAUUUCAGAGUAAAAGAUCAACUUUUUUCUGUUGAAUUCCAUAACGCAACAAGAAUAUCCUCAAAAACAUAUUUUUACAAAAAGUGAUUAUAACCCAUUUCAUAACGCAAUAAACCCAACAAACAGAAAACGAUAGUGGGGGCUCAAUAAUAAGAACAAUGCACUGUUUGGUUGGUGCGAAAGUGCAGGAAAAUAAAAGAGAACUGAAACAACUACAUGCGGAUGCUGGGAAUAUUAGAAACUUGGAGGUCUCUUGGCAUUGAUUCAUUAAACAAAAGAGUACUCCGGUCGUGCAAGAAAACAAAGAUCUGAUCAAAUAAUGACAAGGGGUAGAGUAUCUGAGACAGAGAGUGAGAUUUUUCUUACUUGGCUCAGUGGCUGAGAGAAGUGUCGGGUCCUCCUCUUGCUUACUCCAUAGUACUAAUUGCCUCCUCCUUGAAGAGAGCUUGGUUGGGUCGGUCAGUGGGUCUUUAUAAUGCUCCCAUUACUCUUUCAUUUCGAGAUAUCAAUGUAUUUAGCAUAAAUUUGAAUAUUGCAUUGCAUUUAUUAAAGAAUGAAAAAUAUCUCUCUGUGAGAGAGAGAGAGAGAGAGAGAUCUGCUUCUAUUUCUAUAACCUUUUUAUGGAAUCUGCAGUCUCCACUCCAGCUAAGGUUAAGUUGUAAACCAAUGAGCCAAUAAAGUCCAAGCAAGCAGAUUCAAAGAUAGAAGGGCGGUGAUCUACCAUAAUUUUUUCUAUUUUUUAUAGAAAAAUAAAAAAAAGAUAAAUUUCUUUUUCCCAACCAAAUGAAAGUAAAAGAAAAUUUUAAUAGAAGGAAUUCGCACUCAUGACUGUAUAUGAAAGUUAAAUAUGAUUCUAAAAUUGUGAAAGUAAUAAUUUUCUUGUUUCGACCCUUAGAAAUAGAACAAAAGUUAAUGUGCAAAAUGUGAUCCAUCAUUGAGUCUAUUUUCUGCAGGAUCUAUUUGUUUUAGAGAUGUAAUUAGAGACUUUAAAAAAGCUCAAUAAAUUGACAAAAUAAAAUCUGAUUCCAUUGCAAUCCAUGUGCAAAGUCACUUUUGAGAUGAAAUUGACCAAACUAAUGAGAACGUGGGCCUUGGGGCCACCUUAUCAAAAAGGUACCCCACUGUGAUUGCGUCAUGAUGCAAUCUCAACCGUGCAUGCACAAUAAGCCGACACAGCCUUGUGCUUAACAACGGCUGAGAUUGAGCCAUCGCAAGACGUAUUUACAUUCGGUUCCGAAGGAACUAGAGUAUCAGCAAUGAUUACUAAACAGUUCAGUUCAAUAGUUCAAUUUAUUGAACUGAGGCUUAAUGAAUUUAAUUUCAGAGUUCAUUUGAAGUGAGUUUGGACUAAAUUUACUUACAUAUUGUUAAAUUCAAAGAGACGGGCAGAGACUCACUACUAAUAGUAGUGGAUAUUAUCUUUAAUUUAAUCACUUACAAAGUCCAGUAAGUAUGGAGUUUUAUUUCAAAAUACCUCGAUGUUAUUAGUAGUAGAACCAUUUAUUAUAUUUUGCAUUUUAUUUAAUUAAAUUUCCAACGUGAGACUCAUAUUCUUCAACACAUAUAUCAUGUCCUUUCUUCUCCGAAUUGUUCAACAAAAAACAGGAUGUUAUGAGCUGCAUGCAAUAUCUUCUAACAUUAUAGUUAUUCUUUCUACUAUCUGUAAAUCCUCCCUCCGCCAUGCUUUCGGUUUGUGGUCCUUCUUGGGGCUUUUCUGUUUGGCCUUUUCAUGCUUCCUAGCAGCCGUUUUCUUCUUCCUAGCAGCUUUUCUCACCUUGGCUUCUUUCUGCGAAACCCAAUAAUAUUACGAGAAACUAAAUUUAAAGGCUAAUAAAAAUACUUAUAGACAUGCAAAUAAUUGAGUAUCUUGAUUCGUGAUCAUUAAAUAAUUAAAAAAUUUCAUGUUAACACAUCUCUUUCACCUUUGCCAAGCUCACUACAUGUCAACUCCCACAUCAGCAAAUUCUCAUCCAGAGUUGUUUUGGUUUCCUACUCAUGCAGAGUGGUUUCAUCUUCUUGUUUUGGUUGCUUCAUGUUAGAUGCACCUAUCCUCUUCUAUGGGUUCAUAAUACUCACAUUAAUUAAGACUCAUUAUCAUUAGAAAACUAUAUUUAUAAGGGUCUUGACACAAACAAAAUGCAACAAAAUUCAAAGUAAAAAUUGAUGUUAUUGAUGAAAACACAAAAAAUGUAAAGAAAACUUACGAGCUGAAGCCGAACUUAGGCUAAUCAUGAAUGCUCAAUUUUCUUAGUUAAUAUAAAUUUCAAGUUUUUCCCUUUUUAUUGAAUUUGUUUUACUGUACUUAAUAUUUAAUUUGAUUUUAAAGGCCUAAUCACUAUCUAAGUUGAAUUAGAUUAAUGCAAUGCAAGUUAGAGUAGAUGCCAUACUUAACUUGAGUUUUGAAUUCACUUCUGCAGUCUUCAACCAACCAUUCACCCUAAGUCUGCAACCACAUUAAAUAACAACCAUUCACCUUAUGAUUAUGCUCGCAGAAGUAUUCUGAUAACAGUUUAUUAUAGGGAGAGAGAGAGAGAGAGAGAGAGAGGGGCUUCUGCUGGGUAUUAUGUGGAUGAACAUACGUCAAAUAAUCACAUUAGGCACCUAUCCAAAGCCACGCAACCACAUUAUCCACACACCACACUGGUUAAAUCAAAAGUUCAAGCCGCUGGUGACGUGUCACAAAGUUGGACAGUUCUUUUUUUAAAAAUAAACCAGUUCAAGAAAAUAAAGAAAAAAGGAGGAAAGAAAAAUAUGCGGUGGAAGGGGCUUUUCAUAGAUUUUGGACUUUUGGUAGGUGAAAAUCAGAAUAUCACAAAUUCACAGUACACAUGAGACCACCAGCUAUGAACAACAAUCCUCCACAUAUUCUCCUCUCUUUCUUUUCCCCCUCUCUAAUUUCUCUCUCUCUCUCUCUCUCUCUCUCUCUCUCUCUCUCUCACAACCACACAGAGAGAACAAAACAAUGGUUGCAGGUGAAAGAUGAAGAGGAGCAAAACAGGGUUAUGCAUCUUCCAUGGCCUGUCAUUGUGCUUAUUAUGUAUUUCCACCAUCACCACUGAGGAAGAACUUGUACAAGACCACUACCCUUCUCUCAUCAAAAAGACCCAAGUCUCUUUUGCUUUCUGCCAUCAGCAACAAUAGAGACUCUUACAAUACUUUGGUUUCUGAGGUAGCAUUGCCCUCUCUUUUUGUUUCUCUACCUCUUCAUUAUGCAAUUUGUAAUAUUUAUUUAGGCAUAGCCUCCUUUGAGUUAUAUAAAGGGAUUAUCUGUUAAGGGAUUGUUUAAAAUUUUGAAAUUUUAGAUAAUUUAAUCAAGUGAGUUAUGUCCCAGCCAAGGAGUUGCUUUUAGCCACCAGCAUUUUGUUAUAUUUUCAUUCUCCUGAGAAGUUCAUAGACUUUUGAGUUCCAGCAGCCCCCAUAUGGCAUCUUUCCAUUGAGUUGGGUUGUAAUUUGUAGAAAAUGCCUCUCUAUUGUAGUAUGAUUUUGAGUAUACUGCUCUGCUAGGGUCAUUGAUUUUUCAGAAUAACUAUUUUGUCCUAGCACAAUGGGAAACUUCACAUGACAUUUUAGGAUUUAUUAUAAGAUCUCAACCGUGUGAUUGUUGAAUACUUAUGUUACGCAUGACAUCUUAGCUGUUCUGCAUCCUCUCACUUUUGACAUUGGAGUUCAUGAAAUGCCAAAUGAACAUUUUAUAUUCUUGUUUGCAGGCUGUUAGUCUUUUGGGUCCAGCAACAUUCGACGCUUCAAAGCUCAAAGUUGAAUUUAUAGGAGAAGAGUUCAAUAAUUAUGUAGGAAUCAUCCCAAGAACUUACAUCCUAUCACAUUGUGACUUCACAGCUAACCUGACCUUAACGAUCUCCAAUGUCAUCAACCUCGAUCAGGUCUGUUUUCCAUUUUAUUUCUUCUGAUGCUUCUAAAGUUUUUAUUUUUUAUUUUUAUGAUACCUAUCUAUGCUAGGAUUGAUGAAGUUUCAAUGUGAUUGGUUGCAUCUGAUAGUCCAUUUGGUGUUUACGAUUGUGAUUUUGAUCCUUAUUGCAGUUGAAAGGAUGGUACAGCAAGGAUGACGUGGUUGCAGAAUGGAAAAGGGUGAAUGGUGAAAUGUGCCUACAUAUUCAUUGCUAUGUGAGCGGUCCCAAUCUCAUGCUGGACCUGGCCGCAGAGUUCAGAUAUCACAUAUUCUCCAAAGAAAUGCCUUUGGUAAGCGUUUCUUCUAAGACUGUACUCUGAUAUCCUAUCCUAUUUGCAAAAGGGAAUAAUUAGGAAACUGAGGUGCUUGAGAAGGUAACUCUGAAAGGCCUAUAUGAUAUGAAAACUUCCAUCGCCAUGCAUAGUCAUAUACGUUGCACAGCCAACACAUUAGAAAACACAAGCCAAACAAUGUUAGAUACACAGAUACCAUUUAGUAAUGUCGCAAUUCUCAUACCAAAUAUCAUGAAAGGGGUGAUUAUAUUACACUAAAGAUGGCCACAAGUCUGAGAUGUUGCUUGACUUUAUUAAGUACUUUGGCAUGCCUGAGAUGGUUGAAUGAAUAUUGCUGUGUUACUUAAAUAUUUCCUUACUUUUGGUUUCUAUACAAGCAGGUACUCAAAGCUGUGUUACAUGGAGACUCUCUACUUUUCAGAGAGCAUCCUGAGCUAGUGGAUGCCAUGGUUCGGGUUUAUUUUCAUUCCAAUUUGAAGAAGUACAAUAGAAUUGAAUGCUGGGGGCCUCUCAAGGAUGCUGUAGAGGUAAAACUCAACAUGUGCAUGCGUAACCACACUUAGAAUGUUGCUCCUUUCAAGAUUGCUUGCUAAUUGUCAUGUGAGUCACCAUGUGUUACUAUGUGAAGACUUGUUAUCAACUUCAGUCAUUACAUGUCGUUGUCCCGAAAAAUAUAGGGGAAUUACAUAUUUUAAGUUCAUAUGAUGCCGUAAUUUUCAUUUGAACAAGAGUUUUAUUUCAGGGAAGACAAGGGGAUCAUACCAAAGGAAUAACUGCACAUAUGGAUUCUUCCCAUCCUCAGGUCAAGCAGCGAACGCCAAAAUCCAUAUUUCAAGUUCUAUUUGCAUUCCUUCUUUGAUUCUUUGAAGUCCAUUGCGUAUUAUGAUCUCUAAAUUUUUUAAUACCUUCGAGGCUCGUCAACUUCAACAGCCAACGCCAGAGGCUAUGAACGAAUCAGCUUUCAUGUGUAAAGUUCAAAUAAUUCUUUGGGAAGACGCAAAAAGGGAAAAAAAAAUCAGGUUGAUCUAAAACAAGGACGGUUUGGGGCGCAUAAAAUUGAUUCACAAUUUUUCUGUGACUAAGACCAAUUUGUUCAUGCGUUAAUCAAUGGCUAAUGUCUUUGUUACUUGACAUGUCUUUUGCUUCUAUUGUUUACAUGCAUUCCACUUCAUUUUUUCUAUUACUAAUGCAUAGAUCAAUUCAUAUAAAAUCUCAAUGCAAACCAGUGGCCCGUAGCCACUCUUAGAGUGCCCUUGGCCCCCAGGUUUUUGACAUCUCUCAUCUACUAUAUUAUAAAUACAUGUUCUAAUAUAGACGUAAUGGCUCCUCUAAAACAAUAUAGACAUGGCUAAAUUAGAAAUAUUUAACACUAACAUGUAAAUCUUAAAUCAAUAUGUAUUUAAUAUGCUCAUAUUUUCGGCAACCUAACUUUACAAUUUUAACUCCACUCCUGAUGUAAAUGUACCAACAGUUUAUUAGAAUGAGGGGUCAAGCAUAGCGUUUGAGUUUGUUCAUGUCUCCCGACUCCAUGUGACUCGUGAGUCCACUUUGACUGUAGACAGUCCAAUUUCACUUAAACCUCUCUUCUAGAUCUCUGAAAACUCAAGAUCCAACAAAAUUCUGGAAUUCAGUGGGCCUAGGCCCAGCAAAAUUAUUGAUUUUUUUGUUUUUUUGGACACAAGCUAUAUUACGGAAGGAGAUUUCAAACACAAAACUUUGGGUGCAGCACUGUUCAAUCCCCUUGCAACUUCUUUUUAUUGUUAAAGCGAAAACACCCCCAUAAUUCACUACUCGCUAAACAACAAAAUCACUAUUUUGAGCAAAACAUGGAAGCUGUGUUGUAGGUAAAGUGCAUGAAAUGAAAGUGGGACGAAGGUUCCUACUCUUCCCAAAAAGACGUAAUAUUGGAUAUCUCUAGCUAGCUCAAGCUACUUCUCAUGCAACUCUCUCUUCCUCUCUCACUCUCUAAAUACUAGAUACACACACAUGCAGAGGCUCGUCUCAUUGGCACAUUUAUGCAGUACAGAGUAACGAGGAGAUGGAGAGGAAGACGACCAUGAAGACUAUGCAUCAUAUCGGCGCAGAGUUGGAAGCACUGUCGAGAGUCGUCGGAUUAGGAAGGAGCUCUAGGAGACACUGCCUAGUCCCUCCUAGAGGAAGGAUCAAGCGUAAGAUUCUUGCCCUUCUAUUCAAAAGACUGAAGCUUGCAACCCAACAUUCAUGUAUGUAAUUCCUCAUACUGAACUUGGAGGAUAUAUAUAUAUAUAUAUAUGUUUGUGGAGAAUUUUCUAGUAAGGAUGGCCUUAUUUAAAAUAAAUAAAUAAAACGGGGAUCCUUUCUAGAUAGAAUACUACACAAAGCAUUCAACAAUGAGAACCAUUUGUAUCCUUCUUAAGAUGGUUUUCAGUAUGUUAUAUAUGAUGCCAUGUCAUUCAAAAUGACCAGUUGUAUUUCUAUUGCUUUAAUUACCUUUUAAGAAUUUUAAGUUCAUUAAUAUUUGUUUUUAAAAUUUCACCUUUCAUCAUCCAUCAUAUGCCGCGUUGCCCCACCAGCAUCACUUUGGACUCUCACUCGUCACAAAGGGAUUAAAGCCUCAUCUUGGAAAGGAAAAAAAAAAAAAAAAAAAAACUUUCUUGUAACAAUGAUAACACUAUUUUGCUAUCCUCAUUACAUGAGAUUUUCUCUCCUCAUCUAGGAAUGGGC
rnacentral:lncRNA from 1 species